UACCAUCAUGACCAUCAAGAAAGAUGCUACAAUUUGUGUAUUGAAAGUGUGAAUUAGGAAUGUUAAAAAAUGAAAACUUGAAUUGAUAUAUGUUUUUGCCUAUAAGAUGUGUGGUUAUAGGCAAUUCUUAUGGGUAUGUAAUUGACCUUGAUGUUGCAUAUGAAGCAUAUCACCCUCUCUAUAUCUUCAAGCUAAUGGUUGGAGUUUGGAUAGUGAAAGACAAGUGUCAUAGAUUUAAGUAUUUUCAAAGGGCUCAUGUGGCACAUAGACAAUUCAAGUCUCUUGAAGUUGUUAAUUCUUUCACGUUGUAACAAAGGUCUCUAUCACAUUUCACACAUUAUAACCAUCACAUUUUAACUCUGAGUGUUUAGUUUGAAAUACUUUUGCAUUAAACUCUUUUUCAAAAGUAUUAAAUUAAUAUCUUUCUCUAGUCUUACUCGUUUUGGUUUGUCAACUUAAGUGGUUUAUUACUCUCUAGAGCCAACUUUCAACUUAGUCAUUCCCACAUAAUUGUUAUUGAUUCAUGGUCAAUUAACAAAUUCUCUGAUGUUAUGAUUGGUUUUUGAAAAUUUUGAGGAAAAUUAAAUAAAGAGAAAAAGUAUAAGGAAAUAAAUUUGAAGAAGCAUAAAAAAAAAAAAAAAUUAAAAUUAAUAAAUUAUUUUUAUUUGUUAUUUUAAACUCGUUUUACACCUAAUUUUAAUAAUAUUUAUUUACUUUCCCUAUUUUCCAUGAGUUGUCAAAUAUAAAAAAAUUAUUAUUUUUAAUACUUUUUGAUAACUAAACAUAACCUAAUACUUGUCUUUGUAAUUUCAAGGUACCAAUGAUAGAAUCAUACCUAUUAAUGUGGCCGUAUACAUGUGUGGAAUAUUCAUGAUUCAAUACUAUCACUACAUUACAAUUGUGGGAUGGAUCCUAGUAUAUAGUUAACGCAAAGAAGGAUUUUAUUCUAAAAUUAAUAUAAACAAAUAUAAUUUGAUAAUGUAUUUUAAACAUCUUGUAGAUAGUGUUUGGUGAACCAAUUUAAUAAUUUAAUAUAACUUAAUAGUUUAAUUUAUUAUUAAGUAGAUUAACUAUAUUUGGUAGAAUAAGUUAAUAUUACAAUGUAAAUUUAGUGUUAAGUCAAAAUAGUUAAUUUAAGGGUGUUUGGUAAAUCAACUUAAUGACUUAAUAUGAUUUAAUAAUUUAAUUUAAGUCAUUAAAGAGAUUAAAUAUAUUUGAUAAAAUAAUUUAAUACUACAACUUAAAGUUAUUUUUAACUUUAAGUAAUAAGUCAAAAGGAUCAAUUUCAUUGAGACCCCCUGAGGUUUGGUAUAAAUAUACUCGACUAUCAUUGAUUUCAAAUUUCAUCAAUUAGCACCCUUAUAAAUUUUUUUCGUUUUAAAAAAUUAUUUUUUUAAGAGAUUUCAAGUAAAAAUAUUUUAUAUAGGAGUGUUUAACAAUUUACUAAAAACUAAAUUUUAUUCUUUAAAAACUAAAAUUUAUAUAUAUAAUACAUUUAUAGAGGUACCAAUUGAUAAAAUUUGAAACUUACAAUGGCUUAAUGUACUUACUCUAAACCUGAAGGAUCUCAAUAAAAUUAACUCUAAGUCAAAAUAGUUAACUUAUUCUUAAUUUCAAAUCAUUUUUACCUUAUUUACCUACAUUUAUGACUCACUUUUUAUGAUAAAUAUUUUAUGAUUGUAUUUGUAUCUACGAUGCUUUAAAUAUGAAUAUUUAACAAAUAAAUCUAUUGUUUAAGAUUAGUGAAAAUAUAAUGAUUAGUUAAAAUUAAUAAGAAUAAAUAUAUCAAUUUGAAAAUUUAGAAUAAAUCUUAAAUUAACUUUACUAAAUAAUCUUAAUACUUAAAGUAAAAAAUAAUUAAUAAGUUUUAAGUUUACAACUUAAGAAUCAUUUAACUUAAAACCAACUUAAAUCAUUAAAUAAUAAGUAAUAAGUUUUACCAAACACCUACUUAAACAUAGCUUUUAAAGAAAUUAUUUAAUCAAAAGACAAAUAUUAAAAUAUAAAAUAUAAAAAAUAUAAUAAAGGAACAUGCACAAUGCAAAUUGACAUUAUAAAGUCUUUCACACUAUUUUAUUCCUUUUUUUUGUUCACCUUUUUAGAAAACGAUUUUAAUAUUUCCUAGGAAAAUUAUGAUAACACGUAAUUGGUGUUUCCAUAUUUUCUAAUUUUAAAACUCUAUUUUCUGAAAUAUUGAUUUAUGUUUUCUUUACAAAUGAAAACAAUUUAAACAAAAAGGUGCUUUAUAGUUUCCAUUUUUAAAAAUGAUUUUCACUUAUUUUGACUUAAGGCAUUUUCAAGAUAAGAAAAAAAACAAGAAUAAAAGCUAUUUUUAGAGAAUAAAAAUAAAUGAAAAAUGAAAAACAUUUUCCAACCGAAACCCAUUGUUAAUGUUUUCAUCUCAUUGCACCUUUUUCUAAUCACCAUCCCCCUCUUUGAUGGACUAACUCGGAAAAAUUAUCUUGGCACGUGCUUUAAUUUACAUUUGUUAAAUUGGUUUUGACAUACAUUUUCCAUAAUAAAAGCAAAACAAUAGCCCGAGUUACAAACAUGAUUUCCAUGGUUUUUAGGUCUUUAAUCACAAAGUAUUGAUUCCCAAAUUAUAGAUGCUCUAAAUUUAGUGCAUAGGGCAUUCAGACUCUCAGUUCCAUCAACAUCCAUUUUCAUUUUCUCACCUGCCAAAACCCUAUUGUACAAAUUUCCAUUGAACCUGCAGAUCCAUCCAAAGUGAUACCAAACUGUGCUGACAAGGAGCCUUUGUAAGAAUCUGAUACAGCUCCUGCUGUUUCUGAAAGGUUGCUCUUCAUCUCUGAAAUUUUUGAUGCCAUGUGCUCUUUGUAUUUCGAAACUAAAUCAACCAAAGCAUAGAGUUCCCAAGCACAUAUCUGAAUUUCUUCCUCAUUUUGCUUGAUUGCUUCCUGCAACUUCAAUUUGGACGUCUUCAUGACAACAUCAAAGUCUAGUCAGAAUCCCUUGAAUUUUUCAAUAUUAUUCACAUUAAUCAAGAACAAUUAUAGAGCCAGGUAGGAAUUUUUCUUAAGUGUUAUAUAGGCCAUCAAAACUACUUUGUAGGGACUAAUUAUCAUCCAAGAACAAUUAUUCACAUUAGUCAGAACAAGAACAAUUAUUCACAUUUACUUGGAAAAAGAAUCAAAUGUAGUCAAUCCUUUGUAGGGACUAAUUAUCAUCCAAAAAGAAUUUUUCUUAAGUGUUAUAUAGGUCAUCAAAGCUACUUUGGAAAUUUGGGGCCUGACAACCUAUGUGCAAUAACAAUUGACAUCUCCAGCAGAUUUUAUUUUAUUUUUUUAUCCAAAAAAAAUCAUUCAUUGAUAUGAAUUUAGUUACAAACCAAGGUUAAGAAACCCUUUCAAAAUAUAAAGGAUGAUUAAAAGUUGACGAAAAACCUAACAAGAGUAGCAAGAUAACUAUAUUAAUCAAGGAUGAUACAAGAACUUGUACAAAAUAUAGCGACAAUGUACAAGAACUUGUACAAGCAAGCACUAUAACUUGGGAGUGGUGGCGCCUUGAGCCUAGUGUCACGGACUUAGUCGUUCACUAAGCUCGUGCGGCACUUAGACAAGCCAAGACGCUUGAUCUUGCUAAGUCAGCCUUGCUCCCCAAUGCUUAGCUUGCUCGGCUAAGACACUCGCGACUCAAAAGCUUAAGAAGCUUGGUAGGCAACUCUUGAAAGAAUGGAAGCUUUCACUAACUCAAGGAAACCUUUACAAGUGCUUGGAUGCUCACUUGCUUGGUGCCUUGGCCAAAUGAGGCCCUCACCUAUUUAUAGGCACUAAUGGAACUCUCUAGAACCUUGGAGGGUUCCUUACAAUUCAUGAAUAUUCUAGAAUGUCCUACACUAUUCUAGAAUAUUCAAGAGACUUCUAGAUUUCUCUAGAAAGCUUUGGACCCUUCUCAUGCCUUCUACCAUAGUGUAGAGUUGUGUAGACUUCUCUAGGCAUUUCUAGAACCUUCCACACUCUUCCCACUAGUGGCUAAGUGUGGAUGUCUCCAAGGGUCUCUAGAAGCUUCUCACCUCCUAUAUAAGCCAUGGGGAGGGUCAUUUGAAGCAUCUUGUGACACUCUCCCCCACCUAAGCCGCAGACGUCCUCGUCGUGUCUUCUGCCCGGAACCGCUCAAUCUGUUCCUGGAACUGCCAUAGUGCAUUUGCUGGCUCCCAACUAGCCUCGCUUUCUGGUAGUCCCUUCCAUUUCACUAAGUACUCCGUAGCAGGAGGCACACCACGCCUUCUGAUGAUUCGGUCUGCAAUGAUGUGUUCCACCUCCUUGUCAUAGGAGAUCACAACCGCUGUAAGUGCCCUCUUAGAAAGCCCUCGGCUUGGAUCAUCCUUGUCUUCGUGAUAUGGUUUCAAGUAACUCACGUGGAAGACAGGGUGAAUCUUUAACCUUGGCGGUAACUCCACUUUGUAGGACACCUUGCCGACCUUUCCAAGUAUAGGGAAGGGUCCUUCAUACCUCCUCACAAGGCCCUUAUGCACUGGCCUUAGGGAUUUGAAUUGUUGAGGAAGGAGCUUGACAAGCACCAUGUCUCCGACCUUGUACUCCGUGUGACGUCGCUUCUUGUCAGCCCACUUCUUCAUUUUCUUAGCGGCCUUGUCCAAGUACGAGCGUGCUAUGUCAGCUUGCUCAUGCCACCCCUUAGCGAACUUGAAAGCCGCUGGACUUCUCCCUGUGUAGCCUAUCGUUAGCGUGUGAGGAGUUAAGGGUUGCUGCCCUGUGGCUAGCUCGAACGGGCUCUUGUUGGUCGCCUCACUCCUUUGCAAGUUGUAUGAGAAAUGGGCUAUAUCUAGCAACUUAGCUCAAUCCCUCUAGUUGGCACUCACAAAGUGCCUCAAGUAUAGCUCCAGCAAGGCGUUCACCCUCUCAGUCUGCCCAUCUGUCUGUGGGUGAAAGCUGGUGGAGAAGUGAAGCUCCGAACCCAUAAGCUUGAAGAGCUCCGUCCAAAACUUCCCAGUGAAGCGUGGGUCGCGAUCACUGAUGAUGAACUUAGGCAACCCCCAAUACUUGACUACGUGCUUUAGGAAUAGCCUCGCCGUCUCUUCCGCGGUGCAGUCAGUCGGGGCUGCUAUGAAGGUUGCAUACUUAGAGAAUCUAUCCACCACCACUAUGAUAGAGCCGUUGUCCUCUGACUUAGGUAGCCCGAUGAUGAAGUCCAUGGUGACGCUGUCCCAUGGGCGUUCUGCUACAGGUAGUGGCUCUAACAGGCCUCUAGGUUGUCGUUGUUCCACCUUGUCUUGUUGGCACACAAGACAAGUCCUCACAUAGGCCUCAACCUCGUCCCGUAUCUGAGGCCAAUAGUAAGCCGACUCGAGUAGUGCCCUAGUGCGUCGUUGCCUAGGGUGCCCUGCCCACUUGGUGUCAUGGCACUCCUUAAUCAGGUUCCGCCUUAUGUUCCCCCACUUAGGCACGUAGAGUCGUCUCCCUUUGGUGUAGAGUAAGCCAUCCUCCACCCAAAACCGCUUGGUCUUCCCUUCAUGAGCCAGGGCGAUGAGGCUCUUAGCCACUGGAUUAUGUUGCAGUCCCUCCCUUAGAAGAUCCAUUAUGUCUCCUUGGGGCUGACUCGUUAUGGACGCUAGCUCGGCUUUGCGACUUAGGGCGUCGGCCACAUGAUUAGCACUUCCUGGCUUAUACUCCAGCGUAUAGUCGAACUCGGCCAAGAAGUCUUGCCACCUAGCUUGUUUAGGACUCAGCUUCUUCUGUGUCUGGAAGUAGCUAGUGGCCACAUUGUCGGUCUUCACUAUGAAGUGAGACCCUAGCAAAUAGUGCCUCCAGGUGCGCAAGCAGUGAACGAUAGCGGUCAUCUCCUUUUCUUGCACCGUGUAACGCCUCUCCGCGUCGUUUAGCUUGCGACUCUCAAAUGCAAUUGGGUGUCUUUCUUGCAUAAGGACUCCCCCAAUAGCGAAGUCUGAGGCAUCUGUGUGUACCUCAAAGACCUUGGUGUGGUCGGGUAGUGCCAACACUGGCUCCUCAGUCACAGCCUUCUUCAGGUCCUCAAAGGCUUGUUGGCACCUUUCAUCCCAUUCCCAUGCCUUAUUCUUCUUCAGAAGAUCAGUGAGUGGAGCGGCCCUUGCCGAAUAACCCUUUAUGAACCGCCGAUAGUAAUUAACUAAACCAAGGAAAGAUCUGAGUUGAGGUACCUUGGUUGGUGGAUCCCAUUCUUGGAUGGCCUUCACCUUGCUAUCAUCCAUCAUCAGCUUGCCAUCUCUGAUGCGAUGCCCAAGGAAGCUCACUUCCUCCUUAGCAAACGAACACUUCUCCUUCUUCACGUAUAGCUCGUUCUGCCUCAAGAUCUUAAAGACCUUCCUCAAGUGCUCCACGUGCUCCUUUAGAGUGUUACUAUAGAUGACUAUGUCAUCCAAGUACACCACCACGAACUUGUCCAAGUAUGGGUGGAAGAUCUUGUUCAUGAGGGUGCAAAACGUUGCUGGGGCAUUGGUGAGUCCGAAAGGCAUUACUACGAACUCAUAUGAGCCAUACCUGGUCACACAUGUAGUCUUCGGCUCAUCUCCCUCCGCAAUCCUGACUUGGUAGUAGCCUGACCUUAAGUCCAGCUUCGUGAAGUACCUUGCCCUUCCAAGUUGAUCGAACAAGUCAGCAAUGAGCGGGAUGGGAUACUUGUUCUUCAUCGUCACCUUGUUGAGUGCCCGGUAAUCUAUGCACAUUCGUAGGGACCCAUCAUGCUUUUUCUGAAAUAGAACCGGCGCGCCAUAAGGAGCCUUGGAUGGUUGGAUGAACCCCGCAUCUAGCAACUCCUUGAGUUGUCUCCUUAGCUCCUCCAACUCGGGUGGUGCCAUCCUAUAUGGCCCCAUAGCAGGGGGCUUGGCUCCCGGCUCCAGCUCAAUCUUGUGAUCUUCCUCUCUCCUAGGAGGAAGUCUCUUGGGCAACUCGGGCGGCAUAACGUCCUUGAGCUCAUCAAGGACCCCCUCGAUUUCUCUAGGCAUGGGUUCUCCCGACCCAUCAUCCUUUUCUUCCUUUAGGGUGGCGAGGUAGGUCACCUCUUCCCUCUUUAACCCCUUCUUUACUUGCAUAGCGGAUAACAUAGGGGUCUUGAGCGUACCUUCAUUGACCGUAGGGACCAUGCACGACUUCUCCUCCUCUAGGAUAGCCAUUGAGCGUAGGAAAGGUAGUGGCACGGCCUUGACCUUCUGUAGGAAGUCCAUUCCUAGCACCAUCUUGAAGUCAUCCAUGGGUGCCACUGUGAAGUCGACCCUUCCUUCCCACGAGCCGAUGUGCAUAGUCACCCCGCGAGCUACUCCAUGUGAUGGCUUGGCGGCUGAAUUGACUGCCUUGAGCCAUCCUCCUUCCUUGGAUGCUUGGAGCUCCAACCUUCUUGCCUCAUCCUCCGAGACAAAGUUGUGAGUGGCACCUGUGUCCACCAGGGCCUUGGUGGCCUUCCCAUUCACAAGGGCCUCCACAUACAUCAGCCCUUUGCUUUGAGGCGUCUUAGGCAUCGGCUUGGCCUUAAGGGCAGUUAAGAGCUGCAACGAUCCCAUCUUAGCAUCGCCUUCUUGCUCCUUUUCCUCGAUCAUAGCAUUUAAGGCCUUCCUCUUAGGGCAGUCCCGUGCCCAGUGCGGACCAUCGCACAGGAAGCAAUUGGUCCUGGGCGUGAACUCCUUUCGCUUGUCCUUGCCUUUGCCAUCCUUGCCACUAGGGCCUUUGCUUGAUCCUUCCUUAGAGGUAUGGCCUUGCGACCUCUUGUCUCCCCCACCUUUGGCCUGGUUACCCUUGGAUGGUGGCUUGGGCUUGGAGGAGUCUCCCCUUCUAUAAUCUACUAAGGACUCGGCUACUGCCAUGGCCGUGGCUAGGUCUUGGACACCACGUCUCCUCAACUCUUGCUCGGCCCAGCUUUGCAAGUUGUCCAUGAAGUUGAACAGUAGCUCCUCCUCAGCCAUGUUAGGUAUCUCAAGCAUAAGAGUAGAGAAUUCUUUGACAUACUCACGGAUCGAGCCCGUGUGCUUGAGACGCUUCAAACUCUUCCUUGCUAGGUAAGCCACGUCUUCGGGAUAGAAUUGCCUCUUGAUUUCUCUCUUAAAGGCAUCCCAUGUGUCUAUGGUGCACGUCCCUCUCUCUAUGUCGGCAAAUCGUCGACGCCACCAUAGAGUAGCAUUAUCAGUGAGGUAAAGGGUCGCGGUGCGUACCUUAGUGGCUUCAUCCGUUAAUGCAAUUGCCUCAAAGUAACGCUCCAUGUGCCACAAGAAGUUAUCUAGCUCCUUGGCAUCCCUCUUGCCACUGAACGUGUGUGGCUUGGGCACCUCCACCCUUGGUGCCUCAUGAGUGGCCAUGACUCGUGCUGAUACAGCGGUCUUAUAGAUGGCCAACUCUUGUCGAAUCUCUUGGUCUCGGGCCUCCACUCGUGCAGUCAAGGCCUCCAUCCUUGACUCCACACUAGCGAACAUGCUCAUGACCUUGUCUUGGAAAGACAUGAACUCCUCGUGUGACACCGGUUGAACUUGCGAGACCAGCACCCCCUCGCGAAGGUCUUGGAUCUGCUCCCUUAGAUCCUCUAAGCCCUUCUCCAUGCCUUGCUCGAUCAAGUCCACCCCUUCCCGGGUGUCUGCCAUGGCUAGCUCCACCUUGGCUAACCUUGCCUCCAUGUUGGCAACAACAUCAUGAGAUGUAUCCUUCUUACCUCUGCCCCUGCCCCGUGCAGUAGGCUCGGCCUCCCUCCCAUGGGUUUGUUCGCUAGUCUCCUCCACGUUAGAGCCCGACAUGCUUCCCUUAUGCCCGCUUCGUAGCCACGCUCUGAUACCACUUGUCACGGACUUAGUCGUUCACUAAGCUCGUGCGGCACUUAGACAAGCCAAGACGCUUGAUCUUGCUAAGUUAGCCUUGCUCCCCAAUGCUUAGCUUGCUCGGCUAAGACACUCGCGACUCAAAAGCUUAAGAAGCUUGGUAGGCAACUCUUGAAAGAAUGGAAGCUUUCACUAACUCAAGGAAACCUUUACAAGUGCUUGGAUGCUCACUUGCUUGGUGCCUUGGCCAAAUGAGGCCCUCACCUAUUUAUAGGCACUAAUGGAACUCUCUAGAACCUUGGAGGGUUCCUUACAAUUCAUGAAUAUUCUAGAAUGUCCUACACUAUUCUAGAAUAUUCAAGAGACUUCUAGAUUUCUCUAGAAAGCUUUGGACCCUUCUCAUGCCUUCUACCAUAGUGUAGAGUUGUGUGGACUUCUCUAGGCAUUUCUAGAACCUUCCACACUCUUCCCACUAGUGGCUAAGUGUGGAUGUCUCCAAGGGUCUCUAGAAGCUUCUCACCUCCUAUAUAAGCCAUGGGGAGGGUCAUUUGAAGCAUCUUGUAACACUAGGCACACUUAAAGCACGCCUUUUAAAACUAUGAUCAUCCAUUAGACAGGUGGUUAGACCAGGCAGCUCUUGCUAUCAAAUUUUGAGUGACAACUGCUUGUGUAAUUGACACAUCAUUUGCCCUUUGUACCAAAUUUUAGAUUGACCAUCAAGUGGUACUAUACUACUUUCCAAUUAUUUUCUCUCCCAUAUUUCAUUUGAGUCAUUCUGGAAUUUAGCAGUAUUCUAUCCCAAUGGAAUUUCUAGGAACAACAUUUUUCUGUCAAAAUUUGAAUACAUCUAAAUUAUCACCUUUUUGAAUUCCAAUUGUAGUCCAAUCAAUUUAACCGUAGUAAUUGAUUUUCCAAGAAAUUUUAUUAUUGUGCAUUCAACUACUAACAAUUCAAGAAAGCUUUUUUUUUUCUUUUUGGAUAAGUAAAUCACAAUUCAAAAAACAAAUUAAACGAAGGGGAAAGCAAGAUUAUGAACAAUUUUGUCUUUUAGAUUGCAAAGAAAAUACUCGAGAAGCUUACAGUUACAACUUUAGUUUUCCUAGAGUGGCAUCCAUGCAAUAUAACAACCAUUCAAUUGUAUAUGCUACUGCUGGUACUUAAGAAAUGGUAUUGCUCACAAAGUCAGACCACUAGGUAAAGAAGACCUGCUUUGAUUUCUUAUAUAGAUAGAUGGAUACAGAGAGAGAGAGAGAGAGAGAGAGAGAGAGAGAGAGAGUUUGGCCUUUUCUAAGAGCAGCAAAAAGAGGUUGAGUUAAUUUGUACUUCAGUUAAUUGCAUAUUCAAUAGGGGACCAUUGGCUCCAACUAUGUGCACGCUCCCUCCAUCUGUAUCCUAUGUAUGUGUCUAAGAAUUUUAUGGCUCUGUCAUUCUUUCCAAAAAAUUUGUGCUGCAGAGUUCUUCUUUCUUGUAACAUGAUCAAUCUUGUUAAUCUUAUCUAACAUCACCAAUACUUUUAGCUUUCUUUAAAAUUUUUAGGAAAACAAAGCGAAAAUCUGGCUGCUCCUGUUGACACCCUAAAAUCGUAUAAAAAAGGCAUAGUUUUUUAUUCUUCUUGAGUGGCAUAUAAAUGCAUAGCUGCUGAACAAGAAAAAUGAGUUCUAAUUCACUUACUUCAUCACUACGGGAUUGAAGUGCAGCAAGAUGAUUUCUUUUUGCUUCAAUUUUAACAGCAUUUUCAACUAAUUAUUGUUGAAGAGAAAUCAACUCUUCCAACUUUGACAUAGAGCUUUUAUUUAUGUCAUCAGCAAAGGAGUCAAAUGCAGGCUUAAGCGUUGAUUUGUAAUCAAUUCCCAAACCUCAGCAGGCAAAGACCCUUUGGCAUUCAACACUACUGCAAACCAUUUCCUAACUUUAACCUGGAAACCAUCCAAGAGAAAAUACUUCAAUUACACAAUAGAUUGUAGUUUAAUAGGUUGAAAGAGUUGCAUGAGGUGGUAUGCUAAUUUGUCAAUUCAAAGAUGCUCCUGAAAAUUAAGUAUUUAGUGUUGCCUCUUCAUGACUAUUAGUUUACUUCUAAAAGUUAAAGAGAACAUGGUCCAAAGGGAAACAAUAGGCUCCUAAGGCAGGGCUCAGGAGGCAAAGGGUUGGGUGGGUAUGGGAAGGUUCCAAGUUGAAAUUCAUAUACCGAGAGAGAGAGAGCGAGAGAGAGAGAGAGAGAGAGAGAAGGGGGGGGGGGGAGGAGAGGGGAGACUACCUUAAAAAAGGAGGUUGCCAAGGGCAACUGUAUCACCUAUCUCUGUCUAAAUAAAUGAUUAGAAAACUUGUGAGGAUGAAAGUGUUAAAUGGAGAUUUUUUUUAAAAGCCAAAUUGAGAAUGAACAUUAGCUAACCUUAAAAACCUUUUUAUUUUUCGUACUUUGACAAAGCUCCAGAAUGGUUAGCAGUUUGAGAGUAACACUUAGCUUAAAAGGUUACAGAAGAUGAACAAACAUGAAAUCAUAAACCAAUACAAAAGCUGUAAUGUACCCAAAAGAUAAAUGCAGGUAAGGCAAAUUACAACUCAGAAACUACCCAUUGUUGGUGUUGAAUCACAACCCCAAGUAAACAAAUGAAGCUUAAGUUGGCUACUUGGAAAUAAUGCAUGUGACUCAAGAAGACAUAAGCCAUUGAAUGGUUCAGCAACUACAUUCACCUGGUCUGAAUUUUUGUCUACUGAAAUUUUACAUUUUUGUUAGGUAAUUUUUUUUGUCCCUAUUGGGAUUUGAACCUGAAACUUCCACAAACCCUUCCAACUCUUUACCUCUUGAGCCAGGCCUCAAGGGCAUGUUCACUGGAAUAAUUUAAGCAGAGAACAGCAGCUGGAUCCUUCUUAGGAAUCACUGACUAGUCAUGCUAUAACUACAAAGCCAGAUCCUACGUUCUCACUGAAGUUAUACUAAAAUGUUGUAUAUGUUAAUGUAUUUGCUAAGAACAGGAAAAUAUUUCAUAUCACCCACAAAUGACAGACAAAAAAAAUCUUGUAAUCUAAUUCAUGGAGGUAGAUAACCUAAUGUUGAUAAGAAUCACAGUAGACUUCAAUGGAAUAGAGAAAAUCAAUUCCAAGCAUUACCAAACUUAAGAAAGAACACAAUUCUACCAUGUUCAUUAAUUAUCAGAAAGCAUACUGAAGAUUACUAGAAAGACUUUAGAGUAUGCAACUAAAGGAAUUAAGAAAAUCCUAGUGGAGUGGAUUAUAGAGGUAUGAAAGCCAAACAAAGAGGAUAAGGAAAAGAAAACCUCCUGAGAGCCUGGUUGCAUUCAAUUGAAAGAGUUUCAAGCUCCUUAAACUUGUGCCCAAUUGUCGUGUCAAGAUCCCAAGACUUCUCCUCCCAACCAUUCCUUGCACCCUCGGCCUCCGUGAUAUCUCUCUCAACUGCCUGCAACUCCCUCUUCAUCCUCUCUGCAUCUCUUGCAUUAAACGUCUGCAACUCAACCCUCUUCUUCAGCUCUUAAUUAUCCUCGCAAAUUCUAUUUUCUUCUCAACCUUCACCCCCAACUCCUUCUCCUCCAAAAUCUUCUCCACUGAUGCAAUCCUUCCCGAAAAUUCUGCAAUUAUUGCACGAAAUUUUUUCACAUCCUCCUCCAACACCCCCCUCUCCUUCUCCACAACCUCCUUAGCCGAAGGCCCCGACCUCAAUUCCUCCAACCUCCCCUCCCUCUCUGCCAUCUCCUUCUCCAAUGCCUUCACACCUUCCGCCACUGCGUCCCUCUCCCUUUCCAACUUCCCCAUAGACUCCCUAUCCACCGCCUCCAUCCCAUCAUCAUCCCCGUGAAUAUAAUGCAAGUAACUAUCUAAUGCAUACACAAAAGUAUUGUCAAAACACUGCAAAUUCGACACAAGAUGGUCAUUAUACAAUGCGAUCUGAACCAACCAAUGCAUUACGCCUAAAAGGGAAGGCCAAGCAUGCGGGGUUCCGGGGGCUUUGAGAGCGGACUUGUUGAGCUUGAUCAGGAAAUUGAGGUGCUUGAGGAGGAUAGGAAGAUCGUCUUCAAGUUUGGUUGUGGGGAAAUCGAGUUGGGAGAUGAGGAAUUUUAGGGUUUCGGAAAUGUCUUUGGCGGAGGGGAGAGGGGGUUUAAGGGAGAAAGGAGAGGAAUGGGAGGCGAGAAAGGAGUUGAUGGUGCGGAUGGCGGAGAGUUGGUAGGAUCGGUCGGUGAGGGCAUCACCGGCGGAGGAGCGGUUGAUUCCAAGGGAGGAAGGGCGGCUGCUGGCGAAACUAGCGUCAGAGUCGCGGCUGCAUUGGCGGUGGUGGUCAACGGAGGGAGGUGGUGGUGGUGGCGGUGGGCGGAUAAAGUCCUUCGGACGGCGGCGGCCGGUGGCUUUCAUAUUCGGCUGUGAUGGGCUUCUCCCUCUCUCUUCUGAGUUCUUAUGAAUUCUGAAUCUCUCUUUCCCGCCUAUGGAUACCCCUCAGCUAUUUGUCAAUUACACUUAACCACCCUCAAGUUUUUUAAAUUAACCAUAGUGGAGCAGAACAAUCCAUGGAUGAUGUCGUCGAAUCUUGAAAGAUUUUUAUGGUUGAUUAAUGAUGUCAUAGUUAAAAGAAUUAAAUAAAAUGUCUAAAAUAUUCGUUUUAUUUCAUUUCAUCUUACCAUAUAUUUCUAAUUAAUUUUAAUUAAAAGUUUUUAAUAUAAAAAAUUAAUUUGUUUUUAUUAAAUAGUUUACCAUAUUAUCUAAUUAAUCAAUUAUUUUUACUAUCUUUCUUAUCUAAAUAAUCAUUAAGGUUAUGUUUGAUUCCCAAAAAAUACUAAGUAAAGAAAAAAAAUACUAAUAUGUUUGAUUUCCGAAAAUUAUUAAGGAAAAAAAAUAUUAAUCCACUUUUAACCCUUUAAACACCUAACUUCACAUAACCCAAACUUUUAUAAACUUAACUAUGACUUUCCAAUUGAGCGAACAAUAACCUUGAAUCUUCAAUAAAGAGUAAGUCACCAUCUAAAAAGUUUCUUAAGCCAUAAAAUAAUUGGAAUAAAAUUGCUAACAUACAAUCUAAACUCAUUAUCUUAAUAAUCUCCCUCUUUACAAUUUUAUGACAAAACAUCAUUACAUAAUCCCUUCCAGACUCUCAUAAUGGAGUUUGCAUGACACUCAAAUAUGCUCAUCUAAAAAAUGAUUCAAGGGCAAUGCAUUAAGUUGUAGUACUUACCUCCCAGUCCUAUUAACUGCAUACAUAAAAACAACUAUACCAAAGGUAAAACAAUGUGUGGGAUAAAAUAUAAUCGAGUAAGCAAAACAAGGUAGUGAGAAAAUACGAUCAAUGCACUGAAUGUUAUUAAGGAAGCAAAACAAUAUUGUAAGGAAACCAAUGUGCAAAAUCCAAAAAGAAAUAUAUUUGAUUACAUGUAAAUCAACCAAAUCUAAGCAAAGCUUUGCAAGCAACAAUUGGACAAUAAGGGCACUAAGUGCUUUCACCAACCAAAAUAUAUGUAAUAAGGACCAUGAGAACAAGCUUCUACUAUAGAGAAUGGUUCGAGAGAGUUUGACAUAUCACAAAGAUAUAUAUCAUAGGAAAUAUUUAUGUCAAGUGUCUCAAAUUUUUAAAACAUCUAACCAAUAGGUAAUUUGGUUUCCCUUAAUAUCUCAAAUUUAGUUUUCCCCAACGUCUCAAGUAACUUCUCGUAAUAUUGCAAUAAAUACUCCUAAAAAAUUUUCCCUCUAAAAACUUAAACUCUCCCCAUUUUUUAUCUUUUAUAUAUUAUCUUCCCUUAGAUGAAUCUUCCCCUAUAUAGAAUGUCUCUCCUUAAAACCCAUUUAACAAUUCUCCUUCUAGGUCUCUCUCUAUCUCAAUUCUCCCCCUUUUUGUCAUAAAAUGGGCAAAACAAGGUAAGUAGGAAAGGAGACUAAAAGGCAAUAAGGAAUAUAUAUAUAUAUACAUAGGUUCUGGAUACAAAAAUAUGGAAAUAAAGAGCAUACAUCCAAACCAAAACAAAAACAAAAACAAAUAGGAAAGCAAGCAACUAAGCAUUAGGAGCAAAGGAUGGUAAUGGAGAAGUAGAGCUUGAGGCCUUCUGAGAAUGGAUCUAAGAUAUAAUGUAAGUGAGUUGGCCCUCAAUCCCACAAAAACAUGCAUCAUGAUCGUCCAUCUUCAAAUGUAGACUUGAAAUUGAGUCCAUAACCUCUUGAAGUAAGGGAUUGUUAGAUGAAAAAACAAUGAUAAAAGAUGUAUGAGAAGGCCCCCUAUGUCAUUGGCUAUGUUAGCCACGCAAAGCUAGCUUUGGGAAGUCAUCCUUAGUGACUAAAGGCUCUUACUCCAUGGCUCAAAUCUCAUCAUUCUCAGCUAGGGCCUCCUAAGCAACCUUUUAUGCUAUUGAAGUGGGGAUAACAGGGUCUUAAGGAGUUGUAACUGAUUUGAUCAUUGUUGGUUAAGGUUGAUGGUAAUAAGUAUUCUCAAGAUAGACACUAUAAUAUCUCAUGAGUUUAAGACAAUGAGUCUUCCUCCUAGGUGAUCCUAAGAACAUGUGAUCAUGAAAAUAAUGGUUGUAGUAAUUCCUUUAGUGGAAUUUGACAUAUGCUUUUAAAGAGUUAGAGUAUGUUAGUUGAUAAUAAAAUAAGAGAAUUUAAAACUCAAGGAUUAUAGAGGUAAUCUUAAGAAGUUGAUAUAAUUCACCUUAUUAGAUUACAAACACCAAUUCAUAGAGAGUUUACAUGUAAUAAUUAGUAGUUUCUAGACUUAAGAUUCAUAUCUUAAUUUAAUAUCAUAAAAGUACAAUUGAUUUUUUGUAGUGGAAUGUUGAGUCAACUUUAAAAUUGGAUUAUGCAAGAGCCCAUGUUUUCCUAUAGGUCCUAGUUGUCCUCAUACAAGGUCUUACUCCUUGGUGACAUAUUAUUUCAAGGAUGGUUGUGCUCUUUAUUCAUAUAUAUGUGUGUGUGUGUGUGUGUGUGUGUGUGUGUGUGUGUGUGUGUAAGAAUGUUUUGGUAAAAACACAAGGUUACAUAAGAUUAAGUGACCUUGUGGCUAUUUAAUUAAUUAGGACUUAUGGGUUAGAUUAAGUGGCCCAAGCCUAAAAUGAACUUAAGUCACUUAAACCCACAAGUAAGGCUAUAUAAACCUCUUUAUUUAAGGUUCAUAUCCUUUGUUAUUCAGUCUUCCAAAGAGAGAAAACCUUAACCUCUAUCCAUAGAGAGGAUUCCCACCAUUUUUCACAUGCUAAGGUUGAAGAAAGAGAGUCAUUGGGUAAAAGAUCAUGAGGUAUUUGAGAUCCAUUCCAACCUUUUCAUUGAUUAGAACUAAUCCAAGAAUAUCCAUAUCACAUGUAUUUUCUUUAUACUCUAAGAUCCACAUUUUUUUAUAUGUUAAUACCUUUUUUGUAUGGAUUUAGAGAUGCCUAGGAUAGUUUUGCAUGUACCUUAAUGAUCUAAGGCUUAAAAUGAUUUUUCCUAGACAUUCUUACAAAUCCCAAACUAAAAAUUAUGGAUGAAUGUCGUUAUAGACAUGAUUGGCCAAAAUAGAAAGAAACUAUCCAAAUAGAGCUAAUCUCGUUACACAAAACGAGAAAUAUUUGGACUUAUAGUUCAAAUGCUUGAAGAUGUAAAGUCUCUUGGGUAUAAAAAAGUUUUUGUAUGAAAACACAAUAAGAAAAUGAAUUCAUAAGAUAUAAAACACGAUUUGUAGCUUAAGGUUUCUCAUAAAGACCUAGUAUUGCCAACAAGGAAACAUAUUCUCUUGUCAUAGAUAUAAUCACAUUUUGAUUUUAAUUAAUUAGUCAAUUUCAAAAGAACAAGAUAUGCGUCUCAUGCAUGUUACAAUUAUUGCAAAUGUAUGUUGGUGAUUUGAAUCCUAUGGGAACUCCUGAAGAACUCAUAAAAUUGUUAAUUUUUUGAAGAAAUAAUUUGAAAUAAAAGACUUAGGGAAAUUUUUUUGCCUUGGCUGGCAAAUUAAGAAGUUUUCAAAUGGAAUGUUAAUCCAUCAAUUAACUUAUACAGAAAAGGUCUUAAAUCACUUUCAUAUAAAUUAAUCAUAUCCACUAAAUUCUCCAAUGGGAGUUCGUUCAAUAGAAGUGAAAAGAAGCCAUUUCAUUUUAAAAAAUUUAACGAAGAAAUAAAUGAAUUCAUCGAUUGAUAACUUCACAUGUUUCUUAUUUCUAGAAAAUGAUAGUCUUGAUAAUGUUUCAGUUCCAUUUACUUUUAAACAUAAAGAAACAAAUGAUGAAGACAAAGUCAAAUAAAGAGAAUAUGCUAAUGAUAGUAUGCGAGUUGAGGAUGUUCCAAAAUGAUAGAAAUGAGGUGUUUGAAUUCCUAAUGAUGAAAAUCAUGAUGGUGAUAUUUGGUCAUUUUUUUAGCUAUCAUGACGCAAUUGAAAUAAAACAAAUAAGAUAUGUGGUUGUGGAUGGAAAAUGUUGUAACAUUUCAAACAACCCAAAUUUGAAGGAUUUAGAGAAGCCAGUUGAGUCUUCUUUAAUUCAAUAUCAUUUAGCACCAUCGUCACAAUUUUGAAAAUAUUAAAAAAAUUGGUCAAGAUAUAGUGAUUGAACCUCAUAAGGAAACACUUUUAUGAGAUAUUCAAGUGAAGAGUUCACAAUUCUAUAAAUUUUUAAUCCAAAGCAUAUUUGCAAUGUGCUACAUAAUGUACUCUAUUAAUUCAUACCAAGAGUAUAUUGUUGUGUCAUCGACAAAGAAGUUGUUAAUUUUAAAAUGAUAGUAUCAAUACUUUUUUGAAAUUGUCAAUAUAAUGUAAUGGUAUGACUAGAUACGAAUGACCUUUCCUUCUUUCAUGAUUCCAUAGAAUUUUUUGAUUCAUCAUUUAGAUUCAUGAAUUAGUCAUUCUAAUCGACAUUCUAUAUAUAAAUCUCUUUUUACCUCCGUGAAGGCUUCAUGGAUUGUUGGAAGGGGUUUGGUACCAAUGAUCCUCCCGCGGACCUCAUCAAGGUCCUUGUUGAGGCCCAAUAAGAACUUGAAAAGUCAUUUUUUCUCCACAAUAUUUUGAUACUUGGUAGCAUCUUCAAGGCAAUUCCAAUCAUACUCCUUGUAAACAUCUAAUUGUUGCUAGUGGUGACCAAGAAUAUUGUAGUUAUUGGUGAUGGUUAAAUCCCCUUGAUAGAGAUCAUGAAGAACACUCUCGAUAUCAACCUAUUCUACUAUAUUUUCUUUAGUGGAAUAUGUUACUUUAACCGCAUCCCACAUAUCUUUUGCGGUCUUGUAAAGAAGAAAGUUUUCAUCGAUCUCGUUGGUCAUGGAAUUGAUAAGCUAUGAUUUGACCAUAUUAUUCUGCAUCUUCUAAGUUCAGAAUCUGGGACCAUCACUUUUUGGUUGAAUGAUUUCUCUGGUGAGGUAGUCAUCCUUAUCCUUGCUGUCGAUAAACAUAAGAACAGAUUGAGACCAUUGGAGAUAGUAAUUCUUUUUCAACUUGCGACAUGUGAUGGGAAGAAAAAAGCCAUCAGAUCCUCCAUGGUCAUUGGAAGUGAUAGUCUCCAACCUAGAGUUGACUUCAUAGAUUGAUUGUUGACUAUUGGUAGUUAUUUUGGAAGAUUCGUUUGGAUUAGAUUAAUUUGUGACAGGAUCGAAUCACUUCUGGACUAGAUUGGACUGAUGAACCUAGGACAAAUUGUGACUAAGUUGGAGAAGACCAUUCAUGGUGAGAUAGCAAUAGGGGGUUUAAGUCACCUAUUUCUGAAAAAAAACAAGCACCAGAGAAUAGGUGUCGAUCCUAGUGGGAAAUCGCUCUGAUAUCAUGUAGAAAACUUGGUAUAUUUCUAUAUCUCUCUUCAUAGCAUGUACAACGUCAAAAUUAUAUAUGCUAAGAAUCAAAUCAACCAAAUAAAAAUCUAGCUAUAAUUUAGGAGAUACAUGCCUAAGAAAAGGAAAAAAAAAAUCAAAACAGAAGUGAGAAACAAAUCUUGGUUUGAAUACAAAAUAAAAAUCCCAACAAAUUAGGGAUAUUCACAUGAAAAUCAACAUGUUUGGAGAAGAGCAAGAACAAGUUAGGGAUUCAACAUUUGUCUAUAUUAAAUAAGGCGCUUUUGUGCUAAUGGAGUUGGUGAUAUGACACUAAAAGAGGUGCCUUUUGGACACGAUUGAUUAGUGGAAAAUUUAAAAAGGAAAAGGAUGGGUGGUGUUUUGAUGAAGUUAGAGUUGGGUAUGGAGUCGAGCUUUGGAAAUCCAUUAGGAAGGAAUGAAACACUUCCUUGGGUUAUUUUUUUCUUUUGCAGCAAGUGAUAGGAGGGUGAAGUUUUGGAUUGAUAUACGGGGUAGGGAUGAACCGUUGAGUGUUUCCUUCCCCUCUUUUUAUGCCUUAAUUGUUGCAAAAGAGGCUUGGGUUGUGAAUCUUUAGGUUCAACAUGGGGAGAGAGGUCAUUGAAACCCUUGUUUCUCAUGUUCUUUAAAUGAUUGGGAAGUGGAUGAGUUGAGGAUUUAUUUUUCAAGUUGCAAGGAAAAUAAGUUGGUGUGAAAGAACUUGGACAAUAAUAAGUUUUCCAUGAGUCAUUUAUAUGUUGAUUUGGACUUGGGGGUUGUUGUGUCAUUUCCAAGGUGGGUAGUUUAGAAUUCGUGGGUCCCUUCGAAAAUUGACUUUUUUGCAUGGGAGAUAACUUGGGGAAAUUUUUUUAAUUUAGAUCAACUUAAAAAAGAAUGGUAGUCUUUGGUCAAUAGGUGUUUUCUUUGCAAAGAAGAAGAAGAUGUUGGGAUUUUGUUUCUCCUAGAUCUUUCGUAAUAAAUCGAAAAUGUGAUUUGAAAUGUGGUCUACAUUCAUUCCAUCAAUUUAGGAAUGAGGAUUAAUGUUUGGAACCACAUUCGCAUCACUAUCCCAUGUUCUGUGCACACUCGAAGCAGACUUGAUGAUGGAAAGAGUGUUUAAAAAGGGGCAGAGCAUUAAAGGGUAGGGUUCCCUAAGCCUUCAAUCUCUUUUAGUCUUAAAAAACAUCAUCUAAGUGGAGGUUGAGAAAGGUUUAGAAGCACUUAAAACCUGAAAAAUUGAAGACACCAUUUUAACUUGUACAAAUGGCAAUGGUGUGAGGUAUGUUUUCGAUCUGUUUUGAAUUCCACUUAUGAUCUAAUUGCUAUUUAAGGAUUGUUAUGAGCAUGUUUAGAUUAUUUAUGUCCAUUAGUUGGUAUCAGAGCAAUGUAUGCCUCUGCCUUGUUUGUUUUACAAUAUGCGUUUUUCAAUAAAUAAAAAAAAUACAGUCAGUUUGGUAUUUUGGAGUUUAUGGUUUUUAGAAGUUUUUGAUGAAAAAUAUGGUUAGAAAUCAUUAGGAGAUGAGAUUUCUAACAUUUUAGUGUUUAAAAUCGUCAAUCUACUGUCUGGAAUACACGGAAACUGUCGGGUUUCAUUUCAGGUUGCAAAUGGGUCAAACAUACCCGGUUGAAGGUAGAAGACGACUAGGCUUGUCAUUUUGACUAUAAACAAUUAAGAAAUAAAUAAAAAAUAAAUAAGAAAAGGGGUAUUAGCCCAGUUGGUCUCAACUUUGCUUUUCCUCAACCAUUGUCCAAGUUCGACUCUUUCCAACACCAAUCUUUAGUUUUUUUAUUUAUUUUUUAUUUGGAAAUUCAUAAAAUUUAGUGUUUUAAGAUAUGUUAAUUCAUGGGUUUCUUUAUGGAUAUUUUAUGUGCUAGAUUAUUUAUUUUUGUUAGUUAAAUGUAUAUUUUUAUGAUUUAUUAUGCACACAACAUUAAAUUAAAUAAUUUUGCACAUUAAAUUUAUUAUUAAAGGCUCUUUAUGGAUUUAAUUUUAGAUAUUUAUGUACUUAUAAUAUUUAUUUCAUAAUUUUUUGUGUAUGAUUUGUUGUUUUAUUAUACAUGCAAUAUUGAGUUGAAUAAUAUUAGUACAUUGAUAUUGAGUUUUGUGUACAUAUUGCUUAUGGUUUCAUACAAUUUAUAUAAGCUUUUCUUGUGAAUUAAUUAAAUGUCAAGUGAUCCAUAUAAUUUUAAUUAAUUAAGGAGUAGCCACAGCAUCUUUAAUUAUGCAAAAUUAUAUAUUAAGUGUUUUAGGAUCACAUAUAGGAAAAUGAAAUUACGAGUAAUUAAUUAUAUUUGAUAUAAUAAAAUUUUAUCCCACAAUUUUUUUAUAUUAUAUUUAUAUGAUUAAUUAGGAUGGAAUAUCAAAUUAUAUUUCUUAAUUACCCACAGGAAUUAGGAAAGAGAACAUAAUUUGAUAGUUUUAUCAUAAGGUUUUACAUGGAUCUAAUUGAAUUAGAACUUUAGCCCACAAACAAGUUUUAUGUCACUAGAUUCACAAUUUUGGAACAUGAGUUACAUUGGUAAAACAUGAUUUAUGGUUAUUAGUCUUAAUUUUGAAUUAUAAGCAUGUAUAUUUAAUUUUUGUGUAGUCAUGCAACCUGCGAAUUUCUCUAAUAUAAAAUGUGACAUUCCCAAAUUGAAAGGUGAUAACUAUAAGGUUUGGAAGGAAAGAAUUCUCCUUCAUUUGGGGUGCAUGGACAUUGAUUAUGCUAUUAGAAAGGACAAAUUAACCAUUAUUGACACCAACACUACAACAGAAAAGGCUCUUUAUGAACAAUGGGAGCGAUUAAAUCGCCUUAGUUUGAUGUUCAUAAAGACCAAAAUCUCUGAUGGUAUUCGUGGUUAUGUCGAUCAACAUGACAAUGUCAAGGCAUUACUGAAGACUAUUGAUGAGCAAUUUGUGACUUUAGAUAAGGCAUUUUCCAGCACCCUAAUAAUGAAGUUUUCAUUCUUAAGGCUCACCGAUGUGAGUAGUGUGUGAGAGCACAUAAUGCAGAUGAGGGACAUUAUGGCACAAUUGAAGACACUCUUUCACAAUAAUAUAGACCCUUCAAAAUCUCCUACAACACACACAAGGAUAAGUGGUCAAUUAAUGAGUUUUUGACCAUGUGUGUUUAAAAGGAGGGAAGACUGAAAAUGUAAUUAGGUGAGAGUGCAUUAAUGGAAAUGGAAGGAAAGAAUUAAAAUUAGGCAAAAAAGAAAGGGAAAGGUAAAAUACCAUCCCAAGGUGGAAUCAAGAAGGUCAAUAGGUGUUUCUUCUGCAUGAAGAAGGGGCACAUGAAAAAGGGUUGAAACAAAUUCCAGAAAUGGCUUGAGAAGAAAGGUAAACUAAUCUCAUUUGUUUGUUAUGAAUCUAAUAUGGUUAAUGUUAUUUAUAACACAUGGUGGAUUGAUUCUGGUUCUACAAUUCAUGUUUCGAAUACCUUGCAAGGUAUGUGAAACCUAAGAAAGCCAAUGCCAAGUGAGCAAUGCAUUUAUUUAGGAAACAAGAUGCGUUCACAUGUGGAGGCUGUUGGAACAUGCAGCUUAGUUUUAAGUAGUGAUUUUAUUUUGAAUUUAGAAAAGACACUUUAUGUUCCCAGUUUCUUUAGGAAUUUGAUUUCAGUUUCCAGAGUUAUACCUUUGGGUUAUUCCUUUAGUUUUUAUGAGACAUUUUUUAAUUUGUUUUAUAAAUCUAAUCUUGUUGGAAAUGGUACAUUGUCUAAUGGUCUUUUCUCUUUCAAUUUUCAAAAUGAUACCACUAAUAACACUAUGCAUGUUCAUACUAGCAAGGAUUGAAAUAUCGGUUUUUACGGAUAUAUCGGUACUUCGAUUUUACGGAUAUAUCGGAAAUAUCGGAGAAAUAUAGGUGGAUAUUUUUUCACAAAUAUCGGUGGGAUGAAAAUUAUUUAAAAUUAAUAGGAAUGCUUGAAAAAAACUUUAAAAAAUGAUAAAAUAAGUAAGAAUCCAUAUUUUAAAGUUAUAUUGUAAGUGUAAUUGAUAUAUAUAUAUAUAUAUAUAUAUAUAAUUAAGAAGAAAAAUAUCUUAAACAGAGAUAUAUUGGUAGAUUCGAUAUUUGAAUUUUAAAAAUAAUAUAUAUGAAUUUUGAAAGUGUAUAAAAUUAGAAUUGAGUUAAGAAAUAUUUGAUUUUAUUGAAUAAAAACAAUUUGUACAUAAAUAUAAUACAUAUGAGAUUGCAAUAAUCCUUAUACUAAGGAAGAGAUCGAUGUGAUUUCAUUAUAUUAUUAGAUGAAGGGAGUUCAUCUUAUUGAAGACAGUAUUUAUUUUAAAAUUUUUAAAAUACUUUUAUUAAAACAUAUUUUAUUAUAUUUUAAAUGAAAAAUUAAAUUAAUUUAUAUAAAAUAUCUUAUUUGAGAUUUAAUUUUUAAAAUUUUAUUAAAAAUACAUCGUAACAAUUUUUUCUAUUAAUAUUAAUUAAUUUAAUAAUCAAAAUAAGGUUGAUAAUUAAUAAUUAUUUAUAUAGAGAGUGGAAAAUUGUUCUCAUGAUUUUUUUAUUUUUUAUUUUUUAUUUUUUUAUCUCCACUAAAUCUAAAAAUAAAAAAGGCACGCACUUCUCUCGGCAUCAAGAAUCCUUUUCUGAAGUUGUCCUCCAAUGAGAGAAUCCCUAAAAAAAAGCCCUAUUUUCCUCUGCUACUCCUCUCGGCAUCAAGAAUCCUUUUCUGAAGUUGUCCUCCAACGAGAGAAUCCCUAAAAAAAGCCCUAUUUUCCUCUACUUCUCUCAAAUCUCAAUCCUCGCAGGUACUAAUCUAAUCAUGUUAUUAUCAUUAUUUUUUUUGCAACCCCGUUUGAUUCCCAAGAAAAUCCAUUCCCCAUUCGAUUUCCGGGAAAAUUCAUCCUCGUUUGAUUUCCGAGAAAAUCCAUUCAAAACCCCCAAAGAAAACCAAAAAAAUUGCUUUUCUUUUGCUCCCUAUGUUUUCUGGAUCUGUUUUAGGGGUCUCUUUGCUGUUGUGCCAUUGGAUUUAAAUUUCACGAACCCUAAAUCCACGAUUUUUGAGCCAGGCUAAAAAACAUAACUGUGCGGGCUAGACUAGUAGGAAAUAUCGGGAAAUUUUCCGAAAAAUCGGUAAAAAUACCUCUUGUUGCUCCGCCUGUUAGAUCCACUCGCGAUUUUUCUCCGAUUUAUCGGUGCUUCGCCGAUAUUUCGGCGAUUUUGCCGAUUUUUUAGCGAUAUUUCCGUGGAUCGAUAAUCGGUAGCCAUUAUCGUUUCGGUGACGACCGAUAUCCGAUAUUUCUUCGAAAUAUCGGCGAUAUUUCCCGAUUUUUCAAUCCCUGAAUACUAGUACAAAACAAUGUGUUAUGAAUGAAGAUUCCCCUAUGUUGUGGCACCAAAGAUUGGGAAAUAUCUCCAUACAAAGAAUUAAGAGAUUAGUAAAUGAUGGAGUACUUGGUACUUUAGAUUUUACUGAUUUUCACACUUAUGUGGAUUGCAUUAAGGAAAAGUGGACCAACAAUUCUAAGAAGGGUGCCAAGAGGAGCACAAACAUACUAGAGAUCAUACAUUCAGAUAUUUGUUGUCCAAACAUGAACGCAUAUGGUCCGAAGUACUUCACCUCCUUCAUAGAUGAUUACUCACGAUACAUGUAUAUCUACUUGCUUCAUAACAAGAAUGAAGCAUUGGGUGUCUUUAAAGUUUUUAAGGCUGAAGUAGAAAAAUAAUGCGAAAAGCAAAUAAAGAUCGUGAGAACAUAUAGAAGUGGAGAAUAUUAUGGUAGAUACACCGAGGAUGGACAAGCACCUGGUCCAUUUGCGAAGUUUCUUCAAGAGCAUGGGAUUGAUGCUCAAUACACCAUGUCUAGUUCCCCAGACCAAAAUGGUGUGGCUGAAAGAAGAAACCGAGCAUUAAUGGACAUGGUUAGAAGUACGCGUAGCAAUUCCAAGCUUCCUAAAUCCUUGUGGACUGAAACUCUUAAAAUGAUAGUGUAUUUAUUGAACCGAGUUCCAACAAAGGUUGCUCCCAAGAUGCCAUUUGAAUUAUGGAAAGAUUGGAAAUUGAGUUUACAACAUAUACUCGUUUGGGGAUAUCUAUCUGAAGUAAGGGUUUACAACCCACAAGAGAAGAAACUAGACCCAAGGAUCAUUAGUGCGUAUUUCAUUUGAUAUGCCAAAAGGUCUAAAGGGUAUAGAUUCUAUUGUCCAUCUCACAACACUAGGAUUGUGAAGUCAAGAAAUGCUAAGUUUCUUAAGAAUGACUUGAUUAGUGGGAGCGAUCGAUUACAGGACAUUGUUUCUGAAAAAGAUCAUAUUGAUGCUCAAUCAUCCACUUCAAGUGAUAGAUUGAUUGUCGUUCACAACACCUCUCAAGUUCAAACAGGUGAUAGACAACCAAUCAUUAAAGUUCCAUAAAUUGCUGAUGACAAUCCAGUAGAUCAAGUUGUUUAAGAUUCACCGCAAAAAAUUAUUGAACAAUCUGUUGAGCAACGUGAUCCUUAGGAAAAUGUUGAUACAACAUUAAAGAGAUCUACCAAAGCAAGAAAAACAACAAUACCUAGUGAUUAUGUUGUGUAUAUACAAGAAUCAAACUACGACAUUGGAGCCAAAAAUGAUCCUGAAAUGCUUUCACAAGCCAUAAGUUGCAAAGAGUCAAAUUUUAUGCUAUGAUGCUAUGAAAGAUGAGAUGAAUUCUAUGGCAUCUAACGGAGUCUGAAAUCUUGUUGAGUUGUCUGAUGGUGCAAAAUCUAUUAGAUGUAAAUGGCUCUUCAAGACAAAAAAGGAUUCAUUGGGCAACAUUGAAAGAUAUAAAGCAAGACUCAUUGCUAAAUGAUUCACUCAAAAUGAAGGAAUUGACUACAAGGAGACUUUUUCUCCUGUAUCUAAGAAAGAUUCUCUUCGUAUCAUUAUGACAUUAGUUGCACAUUUUGACUUAAAGUUGUAACAAAUGGAUGUGAAAACAACAUUUCUCAAUGGAAAUCUAGAGGAAGAGGUUUACAUGAAACAACUACAAGGAUUUUCCUCUAGUGGUGGUAAGCAUAUGGUAUGCAAGCUUAAAAAAUCCAUAUAUGGAUUGAAACAAGCAUCCCGUUAGUGGUAUUUGAAGUUUCAUGAUGUUAUCUCUUCAUUUAGUUUUGUAGAGAACAUUAUGGAUCAAUGUAUAUAUCAGAAAGUUAGUGGGUAUAAGAUUUGUUUCCUUGUUCUAUAUGUGGAUGACAUUUUACUUGCAACCAAUGAUAAGGGUUUGCUACAUGAGGUGAAACAAUUUCUCUUUGAAAACUUUGACAUGAAGGAUAUGGGUGAUGCGACUUAUGUCAUUGGCAUUAAGAUACAUAGAGACAAAUUUCGAGGCCUUUUGGGUUUGUCUGAAAAGACCUAUAUCAACAAAGUUUUAUAAAGAUUUCAGAUGAAGGAUUGUUCACUAAGUAUAGCUCCCAUUGUGAAGGGUGAUAGGUUCAAUUUGGACCAGCGCCUGAAGAAUGAUCUUGAUCAGGAACAAAUGAAGAACAUUCCUUAUGCUUUUGCUGUUGAAAGCUUGAUGUAUGCUCAGGUCUGCAUAAGACUUGAUACUGCAUUUGCUAUUGGGAUGUUAGGAAGAUAUCAUAGUAAUCUAGGUAUAGACCAUUGGAAAGCUACAAAGAAGGUGAUGAGGUACCUUCAGGGGACCAAAGACUACAUGUUUAUGGAUAGACAAACUGAUAAUUUAGAACUAAUUGGCUACUUUGAUUCAAACUACACUGGAUGCAUUAAUUCACGAAAAUCAACUUCAGGAUAUGUCUUUAUGCUAGCCGGUGGAGCUAUUUCUUGGAGAAGUGCAAAGCAAACUUUGACUGCAAUUUCCACUAUGGAGGUUGAGUUUAUGUCUUGUUUUGAGGCUACUUCACAUGGUGUAUGGUUAAAGAGUUUCAUUUCUAAGCUUAGAGUUGUGGAUUCAAUUUCUAGGCCAUUGAAGAUAUAUUAUGACAAUUCAACUACAGUAUUUAUGGCUAAGAAUAACAAAAGUAGCAGUUGAAACAAGCACAUCGACAUCAAGUAGCAGUUGAAACAAGAACAUGGGAUAGUUGCUCAAUACACCAUGCCUGGUUCCCCAGACCAAAAUGGUGUGGCUGAAAGAAGAAACCGAACAUUAAUGGACAUGGUUAAGAGUAUGCGUAGCAACUCUAAGCUUCCUCAAUCCUUGUGGACUAAAGCUCUUAAAAUGAUAGUGUAUCUAUUGAACCCAAUUCAAACAAAGGUUGUCCUCAAGACGCCAUUUGAAUUAUGGAAAUAUUGGAAAUCGAGUUAGCGACAUAUACAUGUUUGGGGAUGCCCGUCUAAAGUAAAAGUUUACAACUCACAAGAGAAGAAACUAGACCCAAGGACCAUUAUUGCGUAUUUCAUUGGAUAUAAUGAAAGGUCUAAAGGGUAUAGAUUCUAUUAUCCAUCUCACAACACUAGGAUUGUGGAGUCAAGAAAUGCUAAGUUUCUUGAGAAUAACUUGAUUAGUGGGAGCAAUCAAUUUCAAGACAUUGCUUCUGAAAAAGAUCAUAUUAAUGUUCAACCAUGAACUUCAAGUGAUAGAUUGAUUGUCAUUCACAACGCCCCUUAAGUUCAAACAGGUGAUCGACAACCAAUCAUUGAAGUUCCACAAAUUGCUGAUGACAAUCCAAUAGAUCAAGUUGUUCAAGAUUCGCCAGAAAUUGUUAAACAACUUAUUGAGCAAUGUGAUCCUUAGGAAAAUGUUGAUACAACUUUAAGGAGAUCUACUAGAGCAAGAAAAACAUCAAUACCUAGUGAUUAUGUUGUGUAUCUGUAAGAAUCAGACUACAACAUUAGAACCGAAAAUGAUCCUGAAACGUUUUCACAAGCCAUAAGUUGCAAAGAGUCAAAUUUAUGGUAUGAUGCUAUGAAAAAUGAGAUGAAUUCUAUGGCAUCUAACAGAGUCUGGAAUCUUGUUGAGUUGCCUAAUGAUGCAAAAGCCAUUAGAUGUAAAUUGGUUUUCAAGACGAAGAAGGAUUCAUUGGGCAACAUUGAAAGAUAUAAAGAAAGACUCGUUGCUAAAGGAUUCAUUCAAAAUGAAGGAAUUGAUUACAAGGAGACUUUUUUUCCUGUAUCUAAGAAAGAUUCUCUUCGUAUCAUUAUGAUAUUAGUUGCACAUUUUGACUUAGAGUUGCAAAAAAUGGAUGUAAAAAUGACAUUUCUCAAUGGAAAUCUAGAGGAAGAGGUUUACAUGAAACAACUAGAAGGAUUUUCCUCUAGUAGUGGUGAGCAUCUGGUAUGCAAGCUUAAGAAAUUCAUAUAUGGAUUGAAACAAGCAUCUCGUCAAUGGUAUUUGAAGUUUCAUGAUGUUACCUCUUCAUUUGGUUUCGUGGAGAACAUUAUGGAUCAAUAUAUAUAUAUAUAUAUAUAUAUAUAUAUAUAUAUAUAUAUAUAUAUAUAUAUAUAUAUAUCAGAAAGUCAGUGGGAGUAAGAUUUGUUUCCUUGUUCUGUAUGUGGAUGACAUUUUACUUGCAACCAAUGAUAAGGGUUUGCUACAUGAGGUGAAACAAUUUCUCUUUAAAAACUUUGACAUGAAGGAUAUGGGUGAUGCGAUUUAUGUCAUUGACAUUAAGAUACAUAGAGACAAAUUCCAAGGCCUUUUGGGUUUGUCUCAAGAGACCUAUAUCAACAAAGUUUUAGAGAGAUUUCAGAUGAAGGAUUGUUCACCAAGUAUAGCUCCCAGUGUGAAAGGCGAUAGGUUCAAUUUAGACCAGCGCCCGAAGAAUGAUUAAGAGGAUAAACAAAUGAAUAACAUUCCUUAUGCUUCUACUGUUUGAAGCUUGAUGUAUGCUCAAGUCUACACAAAAUCGGACAUUGUAUUUGUUGUUGGGAUGUUAGGAAGAUAUCAUAGUGAUCCAGGUAUAGACCAUUGGAAAGCUGCAAAAAAGGUGAUGAGGUACCUUUAGGGAACCAAAGACUACAUGCUUAUGUAUAGAUGGACUGAUAAUUUAGAAUUGAUUAGCUACUCUUAUUUGGACUACACUGGUUGCACUAAUUCGCGAAAAUCAACUUCAGGAUAUGUCUUUAUGCUAGCCGAUAGAGCUAUUUCUUGGAGAAGCGCAAAACAAACUUUGACUACAACUUCCACUAUGGAGAUUGAGUUCGUGUCUUGUUUUGAGGCUGCCUCGCAUGGUGUAUGGUUAAAGAGUUUCAUUUCUAGGCUUAGAGUUGUGGAUUCAAUUUCUAGGUCAUUGAAGAUAUAUUGCGACAAUUCAGUUGCAGUUUUUAUGGCUAAGAACAACAAAAGUAGUAGUCGAAACAAGCACAUCGACAUCAAGUAUUUAGCCAUAAGAGAACGUGUUAAAGAGAAAACAGUGGUUAUUGAACACGUUAGCACUGAAUUGAUGAUUGACGAUCCUUUGACUAAAGACAUGCCACCGUUGAAAUUUAAGGAUCAUGUAGACAAAUUGGGACUUGGUUCCUUUGUGUGAUUUUUGUUGUAAGAACGAAUGUUAUUUUCAAUGAAACUCUAUUUGUGAUGUUUUCUCAUAUUUGAUUUUCUUUGUGUACACUUUUAUUCAUUUAUUGAGAAAUAUCAUUAAUGUUUGGACCUAGAAUAAACGCAGGGUUUAUUCAUUAAGUUAUAUGGGCUAGUGUUUAAGAGACAUAAUGCAUUGUGAUACAUGAAAGAUAAUACUCGGUUUUAGAGGCCUUAUCGCCAUUAUUCGUGUGUUUUGUUUCUUGCUAUGGUGAAUGAUGGAAUAUAUGGACCAAGUGGGAGAAUAUUGGGAUUUUGUUUCUCUUGGAUCUUUAGCAAUAAACCAAAGACGUGAUUCGGAAUGUGGUCCACAUUCAUUCCAUCAAUUUAGGAACGAGGAUUAACUUUCGGAACCACGUUCGUAUCACUACCCCAUGUUCUAUGCAAGCUCGAGGCAGACUCGGUGAUGGAGAGAGUCUUUAAAAAGGGGCAAAGCACUAAAUGGUGGGGUUCCCUAAGCCUUCAAUCUCUUUUAGUCUUAAAAAAACACCUUCUAAGUAGAGGUUGAGAAGGUCUAGAAGCACCUGAAACCUGAAAAAUUGAAGACAUUGUUUUAACUGUAAGAAUGGCAAUGGUGGGAGGUAUGUUUUCGGUUUGUUUUCAAUUCCGCUUAUGAUCUAAUUGUUAUUUAAGGAUUGUUAUGAUCAUGUUUAGAUUAUUUAUGUCCAUCAGAAGAAUCCAUAGAUCACAUCCUCCUUUAUUGUUCUCUAGUUAAGAUCCUUUGACAGUUGUUUGAUCUCUUUGGUAUUUAUUGGGUGUAAGUUGCUAUGGUAAAGGAGGCUUUUUUAGGGUGGCACGGUUCUUUUGUGGGCAAAAUGAGGAAAAAAGUUUGGAGAGUGGCUCCUUUAAAUUUAUUUUGGAUGUUUGAAAGGAGAGAAAUCUCAAGUCAAUUGAGAGUAAACAACAUUUUGUUCAUUUUUUAGAAGAUUAUUUUUUUUUAGAAAUUUGUUUUCUUGGGUAAAAUAUUAUAUAGAGAUUGAUUCUGUCUUUACUUGAUUUUAUUGAGUGGCUGGGUUGUAGUUAAGGGAGGGGGUUGUUGAGGGUUUUUUCUUAUUUCUGUGCUAUUAGACACUUUUUUUAUAUGUCCUAUGUAUUGUAGAGUGUCUUUGUGGCGUUUUUAUUUUUUAACACAUUUGGUUUUAUUUAUCGAAAAAGGCAAAAAAAAAGUAUGGUGGCAAUUCGACCCUUGCAUUGUUCAAGUGGUAAAGUUCGAUAGUUCCAUGUAAAAGCGCACCACAAAUUUAAAAAAAAAAAAAAAAAAACACAAAAACAAAAACAAAAUGGCGGCAAUUCAAUAAGCAGCCUAACAUCCUCUUGGCCACAUCCUUUAGAACAACCUAACAAUUUGCAUUACAGAACUACAUACCCUCUAUUUCACUUGAUUAUUGAUUUGGGUGGGCCUGUUAUUGAUACUUGUAUCACCCAUAACAAAGUUACAGCCUGACUAUGGCAUGUUGUGGCUGACUGAUAAGCAUGGUAAUAUAUUUCUGGGAACAAAGUUCAAAUUUUAACUACUUGCAACACUCUUUCAACUUUGUUGUUUCUUUCACUCAUGCAGUAAUGGAUAUUUGCUAGUUUCUUCUAGAAGCAUUUUUAACUAUUUUAAGUGGUUAUUGGAAUCUUGGAUUACAUUUGGUGUUAAGUCCCAAAAUGUGGACCUUGAACUUUUUUGAGCCCCAUAAAGAUGUUAAAACCAUGGAUCUAUGAAUUUUCAAUAACAAUACAGCAUUUUAUUCAAAAAAACAUAUAGCAGUUGGGAUUCAAAACUCAAAUAAGGGCUAUGAGCUUGCAGCUGAUAUAUGGAGCCUUGGAUGCAAUGUGUUAGAGAUAUUGACUCGUUGACCCCCAUAUUCCCACUUGGAAGGCAUAGGUAUGACAUUUCGUAGAUAUACAACAUUAUUUUCUUUAAUAUUUUUUCUUGUUUUGUUCUUCAGUCUAUGCUCUUCAAUUACUUGUUAUUCAAAUUGAUGAUAUGGAAAUUGGUUGUGUUUGGCUCUGACUUUGAAAAUGUUGAUGAUUUUAAAGUAAGGGUGAAGAUCUUGACCCAAAGUCUACCCAUUUUUGAAGGAUUCAACAUAAAAACACUAAAAUAAAAAACAUGUCUGAAAUUAUUUGGUUGAUUGAAUCCAAGAGCUUCUCAAAUCCACGCACCUUAUCAUUUGGUGAUUAUCAGCACAUGGGUUUAAGUGGAAAGAAGGUUCAAUCUGAAUCCAUUUAUCUUUGGAUAAUUUGCAAUUAUGGAUUAUAUUUUUCAUUUUUAUGUAUUGUUAUUUCAUGCAAGACUGUUUAGUUUCUUUCUUUUUCUCUAUAGUUCCUUUUGUAAUUUCUUCAAUCGACUUUGUUUAGAGAAUGCCACUCAAUAUCUGUCUUGUCUUGGCUGUCAUGUAUGAAUACCAUGGAUUUAUCAAUAUUUUCUUUUAUGUUAUCAGACACUCCAAUUUACAAGUGCAGGACUAAAUAGGCUCAAAUCAUUGGCAACAACUUUUCUCAGUUGUCCUAUGACAUUUUGUAGUCACUCCAGAUUUUUCCUUCUUUUAAAUUUCUUCUUUUGUAAUAAUCUGGGUGAAGGAGCCUCACAUUCCUGAUUGUGUGACCUUCCUUGAUGAAGGACAGUGCAGAUGAUGCUAGAACUCAUGGUAGUAGAUUCAAAAUCUUGUUGAAUUGCCAAUUGAUAACGUUUUGAAACACCAGACAUUUUAUCACCGAAUUGGAAGUUGAAUGUUUCUGAAUAAGGUUUUGACUUGAUUAUUGCUUGUGUUAUCUAGGAAGCUCUGAAGGCACCCAAACUGCCUCUGGAACUUUUCUUUCUUGAAACUGUAAGCUGAAUACACGUUCACACGUUCUCACUUCAUGAUAUGGUCCAACACUUUGACCACGUCCUCCACCAUCUCAUCUUCCGCUGCGAUUAAGGAGCACGUUCCACCAACUGCUCAACAUGGUGGCAAGAGGCAACGUGGUUUGAUGGAAGCCACUGUUAUAAAGUUUUUCAGAAAAUGGUCCUGAACUCACUCUGUUAUUAUCUUCAAAAAAACACCAUCUAAAAAAGAGAGAUCAGAGUUUGGAAAUCUGGGUUUUUGAAACCAACUACAAUGGCUGGAGGUAAGUAGACUAUUCUUAGUCUUUUCGGUUUUGAUUCAUAUUGCAAGUACAUUGGAAUCGAAUAUAGCAUAUAAACUUUCUUACAUUUGGUAUCAGAGCCAUAAAUCUUGCCUCUGCUUUGUAUUGUUUCUGAGUGAAAAAUUCUUGUUUUUAUGAUCUCUUGAUAAUUAUUUAAACGAUUGCUGCUGGAGAUCCAUAUAUAGUUGGCAUCAUUCAUUUAUAAAAGGCCAUUACAGGCGUUCAAAAGAUGCCAUUUUCUGGCGCUCCAGUAGCGCUAUUAAGGCGUCAUUUUCAGGCGCACCAGUGACUCCGUUUCAGGUGCCAUUUUAGAUGCGCUUCAGGCCCCAUACCUGGCACUGUUCAGUUGCCAUUUUUGGGGCUGCAACCAGCGCCAUACCAGCGCCAAUUUUCAGGCGCGUUGAAGUGCCAUUUUUUGGGGCUAUAACCAACGCCGUUCAAGCACUGUUACUAGGCGUCGUUCAGGCUCCAUUUAAGGCGCACCUUAGCCACCAUCUCAACGCCGUUCAGGCGCCAUUAGAAACGCCAUUUUUUUGGGCUGCAAGUCGUCGUUCGCACGCCGUGUUGAAGCACUGCAGACGGCUUCAUGGCUUGGACUGCAUCCAGCAAGGGUGCAGUCCACGUGGGUGGCGGCGAGAACGUCGCUGCCGGUGUUGAAGCAGUCCACUGGGUGGCAGAAAAAAUAGGAUCUUGGGUUUCGGUUGCAGGUGAUAUUAAAAUAGUGAGGAAUCUAGAGAGAGAUGGGGCUCCACUAAGGUUAUGGGCCUUUAUAUAACUGGCUAUUGGGCCCAUUAGGUUCAAAAAUGGGCAAUGGCCCAUUUUACAAAAAUAAAAGGCAUUAAAUUGGGGCAUGUAUAAAUGUAAAAAAUUGGGCCAGUUUAUGCUCUUUUUGGCCUGAUUUUUUAUUUAUUUAUUUAUUUUUAUUUUAACUAUAUUGGGUAUGGAAUUGAUUGUGUUUUAUUUGGAUUUAGGCACUCAUUCAUAAUCCAAAACCUUUAAAAUUAUCAUGUAAAUUUUAUACAUGCAAAAUAAAUAAUUAUAUACUGCUUUAUAUGUUUGUAGCCUAAAUUAAAGUUGUAGCUUUUAAUGCAUGCAAUUGUUGCCUAAAAUUUAGUUAGAUAUAUUAAAAUUAUAUCAUAUAGUUUUAAUGUCUAGUGAAACCAUGUGAUUUUUAAAUAAUUAAGGAAUAGCCACAGCAUCCUUAAUUAUAUAAAAAUUAUAUAUUAAAUAAAUAAGGAUCACAUUAUGGACAUUAAUUGUAAUUAAUUAUAUAAAUAUGAUGAUUUUACCCCACAGGGUUUUCAUUAUGUUUAUAUAAUUAAUUAGGAUAAAAUAUUAAAAUUAAUUUUUUCCUAAUUUACCCACAGGAGUUAGGAAGAAUUAAUUUAAUAGGUUUAUCAUAAGGAUUAUAGACAAAAAAAAAAUAUCAAACUAUAUUCAUAAUUCAAUAAAAUAGUUUGAUAAAGUCUAUCAUAAAGAUAAUUAAUCUUAUUGAAUUAAAGAUUUAGCCCACAGACAAUUUUUAAUAAAAUUAGAUUCAAUUUUAAGCAUGUUCUACAUUGGUAAAGCAUGAAUUUAUAUUAAAGCCUAAAAUUUUUAAUAAGCUUGUAAUCCUUUUGUGCAGUUUUAUCUAGCAUAUCUGAUAUUCGUUGUGAGGUUCCCGAACUUAGAGGAGAUAACUUUAAGAUAUGGAAGGAGAGAAUUCUUCUUCAAUUAGGGUGCAUGGACAUAGAUUAUGCUAUAAGGAAAGAUGAACCGCAUAAGAUCACUGAUACCAGCACACCUGAACAAAUUUUAUUGUACGAACGCUGGGAGAAAUCUAAUCGCCUUAGCGUGAUGUACAUUAAGACAAAAAUCAGUGCUGGUAUACGUGGUUCAAUCGAGCAACAUGAGAAUGUCCAUGAAUUGCUAAAGGCUAUUGACGAGCAAUUCGUCACUUCAGAUAAAGCCUUGGCAAGCACCCUAAUUAUGAAGUUCACAUCCCUGAAGCUCACCGGUAUAAGAGGUGUGCGUGAACAUAUCAUGGAGAUGAGGGACAUUGUGGCUCAAUUGAAGAAACUCGAGGUAGAAAUAUCUGAAUCUUUCUUGGUGCACUUUAUCCUUAACACUCUUCCACCUCAGUAUGGACCUUUCAAAAUCUCUUACAACACACAUAAGGAUAAGUGGUCUAUCAAUGAAUUGAUGACCAUGUGUGUUCAAGAGGAAGGAAGGUUAUUGAUGGAACAGGGAGAAAGUGCCAUGCUGGUGACGCAAAGGAAAGGAAAGAAAGGAAAAUCUCAAGCUAGUCAGAAAGGAAAGCAACAAAUUCCUCCUAAAUCUGACAUUAAGAAAGACGAAAAGUGUUUUUUCUGUAAAAAGAAAGGACAUGUGAAGAAGAAAUGUCUGAAAUUUCAGAAUUGGCUUGAGAAGAAAGGUAACCCUACCUCAUUUGUUUGCUAUGAAUCUAAUAUGGUUAAUGUAAACACCAACACAUGGUGGAUUGAUUCUGGAUCUACAAUCCACAUUUCAAAUUCCUUGCAGGGUAUGCAAAACCUAAGGAAGCCAGUGACAAGUGAGCAAUUCAUCUUAUCCGGAAACAAGAUGGGCUCGCAUAUGGAAGCAAUAGGGACAUGUUAUUUAACUUUAAAUAGUGGUUUUGUUUUAGAAUUGCAAAAGACUUUUUAUGUACCAAGUUUCUCACGAAACUUGAUUUCAGUUUCUAGACUUGUACCGUUUGGAUAUUCCUUUCAUUUUUCAGAAACAUCUUUCAAUUUGAUUUAUAAAUCUGAAUGUGUUGGGAAUGGUAUCUUGUCUGAUGGUCUUUAUUGUAUAUUCUUACAAAAUGAUACUGCUCAUAAUUCAUUGCAUGUCCAAACUGGCAUUAAGAGAUGUGUUGUAAAAGAGGAUUCCUCUACAUUGUGGCACCGGAGAUUAGGUCAUAUCUCCAUAGAUAGAAUCAAAAGAUUGGUGAAUGAUGGGGUACUUAGUACUCUAGAUUUUACUGACUUUGAGACUUGUGUGGACUGCAUUAAGGGUAAGCAGACCAAUAAGUCAAAGAGAGGUGCUACUAAGAGUUCCACCAUACUAGAGAUCAUACAUACUGAUAUAUGUAGUCUUGACAUGGACUCUCAUGGUCAGAAAUACUUCAUCUCUUUCAUAGAUGAUUUCUCACGAUACAUGUAUCUCUACAUACUUCAUAAUAAAAAUGAAGCUUUAGAUGCCUUUAAAGUCUUCAAGGCAGAAGUAGAGAAACAAUAUGGUAAACAAAUUAAGAUUGUGAGAUCAGAUAGAGGUGGAGAAUAUUAUGGUAGAUACUUGGAAGAUGGACAAUCACCUGGACCAUUUGCGAAGUUUCUUCAAGAGCAUGGGAUUGUUGCCCAAUACACCAUGCCUGGUUCUCCAGACCAAAAUGGUGUAGCAGAAAGAAGAAACCGAACUUUAUUGGACAUGGCGAGGAGUAUGCUUAGCAGCUCAAAACUUCCUAAAUUCUUAUGGACUGAAACACUUAAGACAGCUGUGUAUAUAUUAAACCGAGUUCCAACCAAGGCUGUCCCAAAGACGCCAUUUGAGUUAUUGAAAGGUUGGAAACCGAGUUUGCGACAUAUGCGCGUUUGGGGAUGCUCGUCUGAAGUGAGAAUUUAUAAUCCACAAGAGAAGAAACUGGACCCAAGGACUAUUAGUGGGUAUUUCAUUGGAUAUGCUGAAAAGUCUAAGGGGUACAGAUUUUACUGUCCAUCUCACAGCACUAGGAUUGUGGAAUCGAGAAAUGCUAAAUUUCUUGAAUAUGACUUGGUCAGUGGGAGCGAUCAAUUUAGAAACAUAGUUUCUGAUAUUGAUCAUACAGAGUCUCAACCUUCCACUUCAAGUGAUAGAUUGUUUAUUGUUCAUAACACCCCUCAAGUACAAUCGGGUGUAGAACGAACAAUCACUGAAGUUCAACCAGUCGUUGAAGUUCCACAAGUUGUUGACAACAUUCCAGUAGAUCAAGUUGAUCAGGAGUUUCCUGAUACUUCUGGACAACAAGUUGAACCUCAUACUUCCUUAGAAGAUAUUGGUGCAACCUUAAGAAGGUCUACUCGAACUAAGAGGUCAGCAAUUCCUAAUGAUUAUGUAGUGUAUCUACAGGAAUGUGACUACAAUAUAGGAGCCGAAAAUGAUCCCGAAUCUUUUUCACAAGCCAUGAGUUGCAAAGAAUCAGAAUUGUGGUACAAUGCCAUGAAGGAUGAGAUGAGUUCCAUGAAGUGCAAUGAUGUUUGGGACCUUGUUGAGUUGCCUAAUGGUGUAAAAACCAUUGGUUGUAAAUGGGUUUUUAAGACAAAGAAAGACUCAUUAGGCAACAUUGAAAGAUACAAGGCCAGACUUGUUGCAAAGGGUUCACUCAGAAAGAAGGAAUCGAUUACACGGAAACCUUUUCUCCUGUAUCUAAGAAAGAUUCCUUGCGCAUUAUAUUGGCAUUAGUAGCCCACUUUGAUUUAGAAUUGCAACAAAUGGAUGUGAAAACAGCAUUUCUUAAUGGAGAGCUAGAGGAUGAGGUUUACAUGAAACAACCUGAAGGAUUCCCCUCUAGUGAUGGUGAGCAAUUGGUUUGUAAGCUUAAGAAAUCCAUAUACGGUUUGAAGCAAGCAUCCCGCCAAUGGUAUUUAAAAUUCCAUAACAUAAUUUCUUCAUUCGGUUUUGUUGAAAAUGUUAUGGAUCAAUGCAUAUACCUUAAGGUCAGUGGGAGUAAAGUUUGUUUUCUUGUUUUAUACGUGGAUGACAUCUUACUUGCAACCAAUGAUAAGGGUUUACUUCAUGAGGUAAAACAAUUCCUCUCUAAAAAUUUCGACAUGAAGGAUAUGGGCGAGGCAUCUUAUGUCAUUGGCAUUAAGAUCCAUAGAGACAGAUUUAAAGGUAUCUUAGGUUUGUCUCAAGAAACCUAUAUCAAUAAAGUUUUGGAGAGAUUUCGAAUGAAGAAUUGUUCACCUAGUGUUUCUCCUAUAGUGAAGGGUGAUAGGUUCAAUCUGGACCAAUGCCCGAAAAACGAUCUUGAGAGGGAACAAAUGAAGAACAUUCCAUAUGCUUCUGCAGUCGGAAGUUUGAUGUAUGCUCAGGUUUGCACAAGGCCUGACAUUACAUUUGCUGUUGGAAUGUUAGGACGAUAUCAGAGUAACCCAGGUAUAGACCACUGGAAAGCUGCAAAGAAAGUGAUGAGAUAUCUUCAAGGAACCAAAGAUUACAAGCUUAUGUACAGACGAACAAGCAAUUUAGAGGUAGUUGGCUACUCAGAUUCAGACUUUGCUGGCUGUGUUGAUUCACGUAAAUCAACAUCUGGAUACAUUUUUAUAUUGGCCGGUGGAGCUAUAUCUUAGAGGAGCGUUAAGCAGACCAUGACUGCUACUUCUACUAUGGAAGCUGAGUUCAUAUCUUGUUUUGAGGCUACUUCACAUGGUGUAUGGCUUAAGAGUUUCAUUUCCGGGCUUAGAGUUAUGGAUUCAAUAUCUAGGCCAUUGAGUAUAUAUUGCGACAAUUCAGCUGCAGUCUUUAUGGCGAAGAACAAUAAAAGUGGAAGUCGAAGCAAACACAUCGACAUUAAGUAUUUAGCCAUAAGAGAACGUGUUAAAGAAAAGAAAGUGGUUAUUGAGCACAUUAGCACUGAAUUGAUGAUCGCUGAUCCUUUGACUAAGGGCAUGCCACCAUUGAAAUUCAAGGAUCAUGUAGUGAACAUGGGACUUAGUUCCCUUAUGUAGUUUCUAUUGUACAAACUCUUAUUAUGAUGUUUUCUCAUAUUAAUGUGCACUUUUUAUUUAAUUUUGAGAAAAUUCAACUUCAUUGGACCAAGAAUGAACAUAGGGUUUAUUCAUUAAGUAAUAUUGCCACAUAAAGUAUAAUGUUAAGAAAUGAGUACAUUGUAAUACAUGGAAGGUAACACUCGUUAAAUAGAGGACUUAUCGCCAUGAUUCAUGUAUUUGUUACUUAAUGGGACAAUUGAUGGACUAAAUUAGGACAUUAGGUUAAAGGGGUGGACCAAGUGGGAGAAUGUAAGCUGAAUACACGUUCACACGUUCUCACUUCAUGAUAUGGUCCAACACUUUGACCACGUCCUCCACCAUCUCAUCUUCCGCUGCGAUUAAGGAGCACGUUCCACCAACUGCUCAACAUGGUGGCAAGAGGCAACGUGGUUUGAUGGAAGCCACUGUUAUAAAGUUUUUCAGAAAAUGGUCCCGAACUCACUCUGUUAUUAUCUUCAGAAAAACACCAUCUAAAAAAGAGAGAUCAGAGUUUGGAAAUCUGGGUUUUUGAAACCAACUACAAUGGCUGGAGGUAAGUAGACUAUUCUUAGUCUUUUCGGUUUUGAUUCAUAUUGCAAGUACAUUGGAAUCGAAUAUAGCAUAUAAACUUUCUUACAGAAACUUGACCAAUGACUCAUCUUUGGGCUAGAAAACAGGUUUUACAAAAGCAUCCUUGGCAUAAGGUUUGAUAUUAAUUUUUCUUCCAGCUAAGUUUGAAAAGCAAGAUUUUAGACUUGUAGAUUUGCGCUCUUCCUUCAAAUCAAGUACUUUGUGUAUGCAAAUAUUGACCAUGCAUCUUGCUUUGUGUUGUCCUGCAUCAUUACUCAACCUUAUAUUCCUUGAAUGCUCUACUCUUGUAUUCAUAAGAUAUGAUAACCAGACUUGUGUUAAUAUGCUUCUUGAUAUUGCUGUAGAUCUUGCCACUUAAGAAAUCAAGUUUUAGUGUUAUCUAUUUCAAGUCCUAUGCAAAGUUAAUUGGAAGGUUUCUGUUUAGAAAUGGGAAUGAAGGGGUGGAUCACAAUAUUCUGUGAAAGAGAGGAAUAAAACCUCCUGACAAAAGUGCGUUUUUGUUUCCAUGAGAAUGGUUUUUUAUUCCUAUUCGUAUUUCUAAUAUAGGUAGACUAAGCACAUUUAUGAAUGAAAAAUGAAAUGGAUUUCGAGCUUCCAUUCCCAUUCCUAUUCCAGAGUACCAAACAUGCCUUUGGUAUCUAAGGGAAAAAAAUUGUGUCACCUGAUAAUCAAUCUUACAACUUGGAAUGCAGCAUGCCUUUGCCAUGUAUGCCUCUAAGACGAGGGGAGGGGGCUUGGAUCCCGACCAGCAGACUCGUCGAAGGGUGGGGGGCAUAGCGGGUAUGUUCCUGAGGGGGUUGAAACCUCAGGGCACUUGGAAUGCAGCAUGCCUUUGCCAUGUAUGCCUCUAAGACGAGGGGAGGGGGCUUGGAUCCCAACCAGCAGACUCGUCGAAGGGUGGGGGGCAUAGCGGGUAUGCUCCUGAGGGGGUUGAAACCUUAGGGCCGGGGUCGGGGAAAGGGGAGAGGGGAGUGUGCUUGGUGUGGGGGAGAGACGAAUCAGGGCAACAUAGGAUUGAAUCUCAGUAGAUCAUGGUAGCAAGGCCACUCUGCCACUUACAAUACCCUAUCGCGUAUUUAAGUCAUUUGCAAAGGAUUCUACCUGCAUCUCUGAUAUUAUAUUUUGAGUUCUAAUAAGGGAAUAUCUCUUUGUGGCUUGGCAGAUGCAAGCGUUAUUUAGGAUUGGCAAGGGUGAACCUCCUCCUGUUUCUAAUUCCUUGUCAUCAGAUGCCCGAGAUUCUAUCCUCAAAUGCUUGCAAGUCAACCCUGGUGAUGGGCCUACUGGUCAGUUACUGGACCAUUCAUUUGUCAGGAGCCCACAACACACUUUCUCUGGCCCUCAAUCUCCUCGUACAAAUGGAAUACGACCUUAAAAGCUUUUGAUCUUGCUACGGAGCAUCAAAUACAUAGAGGUAAAAUAAAACACUUUUACGUCUUUUCCACUUUUUCGUAUAUUUCUCAUGUGUAAUUACGUCUAAAUUCAUUCUAAAUAUUUUCUAAUUAUUUUACAAAAAAAUAAUUAUAAAAAAUUAUAUAAGUAAUAAAAUCUAUUUUUUUUUUUUUCAUGUAGAACUAACUGAUCAAUAUUAUUGUAUGGAUUUUAUAACAAUAUAUUAAAAUUAACUUUCAACUUCAUAUCAAACAACUUUUUAUGAUAAAGAAGCUUAGGUUUGGAGAGGAUAAAAAAAAUGGAAAAGGAUAAUUAAAAAAUAAUUAAAUAGAUUAAUAGGAUUUAUAUUUUAAGGCGGAUAUGUAGAGAGUUUUAUUAGAUGUUUUUAAGUAUGCUGGCCAACCACCCUAAAACCCAAAAUAAUUGUCACCAAGUUCCCAAAAAACAAUGACCCCUAAAAGUUGGCCUGCACCUCUCAUUAUUUUAAUUUUUUUUUCUUUUUUCUUUUUUUCUUUUUUUUCUUUUUUUUGGUAAUCUUUUCAACUCUUCAUACUCUCAUUUUUAUCAUUCACUUUUUAAUUUGUUUAUUUGUUCUACUUUAGAACUCACUCAUAUUCCCAAAUACAAAAAUUCUUUAUAUUUACACAACAAUUUAACUUAACAUCUUUUUUUUUAAGAAUUCUUUUUCAUAUAAUAUUCCUUACUAACAAAAACUAAUUUUAAUGAAACAACUUUAAUUUGAUAUAUAUAAAUAUGAAGAUAUAUACUCCUAAACUUACACUUUAGCCACUUGAGUCCAACAAGGGUUUGAUUUAAAAAAUUUGUAGUUCUUAAAGAUGUUAAACUCCUUUAAAAAGCAUCAAAUGGUAAUAAAUAGGAACUAGAGAAAACCAUUCAAAUAAGCAGAUUUCAUCUAUAAUACGAAGUAAAAUCCAAAAUAGAAAUGUGAAGAAAAAAAUUAUCAUUGACUCUUGACUCUUUGACUCUUGCCAAACCAAUCCCACUACCAUCUAAUGCUAAAUUGUCUAACAAAUGGGAAUUGAAAGCAUAGAACAGAAUCAUUGACUCUUGACUCUUCCCAAACCAAUUCCACUACCAUCCAAUGUUAAAUUGUCUAACAAAUGGAAAUUGAAAGUAUAAAAGAGAAUCAUUGACUCUACUUAGCCCAUUAUCUAAAAGAGGCUACCUCUCUCCUUCUUUCAUGAAGUUUCUUAGAAAUUUCAAGCUUCUUUAUCAUAUAAAGUAUAAAAAAGAAUCACUCUUAACCCAUUACAUUAAAAAUCCUACCCCUUCUCUCCUUUCAUAAAGUUUCCUAGAAAUUUCAAGCUUCUUUGUCAUAUAAAGUAUAAAAGAGAAUCAUUGACUCAUUGUAACCCAUUAUCAAGUGUUGUCUCUCCUUUCUAAAGGUUAAUGCCCUUGUAGCCAUUCACAUGUGUUUCAAGAAAAAUGAAGUUAUUUUGCCCCCAAGAACUAUAGAAAUAAAAUUUUGUUAAGAAAUUUAAAAUAUAAAAAUAAAAAUUUUAAAUAAGAGUAUUUUAUAUAAUUUUUUUCAUAUUUUCUAAAAUUAAAUAUCCAAUUUUUAAUUAUCUCAAAAGCUAGAGAAGCUCCAAAAAAGAAAAAUAAUGUCUUGCAAUUAGAUAACUAAUUCAAAACAAUCCAAAUACUUCUUGAUCCACUUGUGGUUAACAUUCCAUUAAAAUUAUGUCAAAUUUAUUAAAAUCUACUUGCAUUUAUUUAUUUAAAAUUAUUCAAAGCAUUCUCAAUACUUUAUUCUUUUUUUUUUUUUUUGAAAAAAAAAAUUGUAUCACGUUUCUAGAAAAGAAUUAUUAAUAUAUAUUGAUUUUCUUAUAAAUAUUUUUCAUUAAAUUUUAAAACUUGUUUUUACUUUAACUUUAAAUGGGUUUGUAUGCUUGUGUUUUUAUUUUUCCUUUUCAAUCAAAUGAAUUAAUUUAUAAUAUGGGAAUGUCUACUUGAACUCAGUAUUUUAUUUAUUUCCUUUUUUAACUUUAUUUUAGUAAAUGCAUCCUUGAUCAAUAAUUUGAUGAUUGUUUUAAAAUCAAAUAGUGAAGAUAAAAUUUUGAUAAUUAAAAAACAAUUGACUUACUACAUCACUUACAUGAAAUAUUGAUUUGUUGUUUGAAGUUUUUUGGCAUUAUAUUUAAUUCAUCAUAAUAAGACAGUUUUUUACUCAAUAAUUUAUGUAGAAUAAUAAAUAAAUUAAGGAGCGCUUUAUUAAAAAUCAGUUUUAAUAGAAAAAUAUAAGUUGGAUAUUCAUUUUGAUUAAAAAUAAAAUUAUAAUUUGAUUUAAUUAGAAAAUGAAUUUUUUUCUUGUUAAUUUAAUUUUAAUUUGUAAUCCUGUUAAUAGGGAAAAUAAGAUAGUUUUCAUGUCUUUUUAAUUGAAAAAAUGAUGAUUUUGGUUGUAAUUUGUGAAUUUAUUUUAAUUUGUAAAAAGAAAAUAUUAUUCUAUUAGUUAAAUCAAUUUUGAUAAGAAUACUUAAUUUUAUGAAUAUAAUAAUAAUUGUUAAAGUAAUCUUAUAUGUGCAAAAUUUUAAAAUCUUGUAAAAAAUAAACAAAAAGAUAAGAAAAUAUGCAAACAAAAUUUUAUGAACUAGAAAUUUUGUAGGGUACAAUUCUUUGGAAUAAUACUCAUUAAAAAAAUAAUAUUUUCCUUUUAUUUGAUCACUUUCAUCACAACCCAAUGGAUAACAUGUUUUCACUUGCAAUUGUUUUUAUAUUAAGCUUUUAUAUAAGACUUUAUGUCAUGUGCUCAUGUGGACAACUCUUCAAAGGUGUAGAGUCACUUGCCUUGGAGGAUAUAUAGAAGCUCUCAAUGCAUACCUUAUAUGUUCAUCUCCACUACUAAAUAUUAUAUAAUCUAUUCUUGUUGCCAUGGGUUAAAAAACGUGAGUUGAUAUAGUCAAUCAUUUACUCAUCUUUCUACUGCUUGGUAUUUGUGAACUUCAUUAUGCUUAUCGUUGGUUGGGAAAAGUAAUUGUCUUCAUGCUUCAUUUGAUCACAACUGUCAAUAGGUUUAGGCUCAAGAUCCAUGUACCAAUCAAAAGCACACAUUUGGAGGGAACACACAAAUUGUUUGAGUAAGAGGUCACCCUCAUGCUAGCAUUGUUGCAAGUUUGGAUGAAUCAGACAUUGCAUUGCUUUGGAAUUCCUUUUCCAUCAAAUUAUUGAAACUUUAGAGGUUAAUAACUCAUAGGUAUUUGUAGGUUAUCAAUUUUCGUACUGUAAGGUUUAAAGCACACGAGUGUACUUCAUGACGAUCCACCAUACUAUUCUCCGAUGGUGUUACGUAUCAUGUUUUAACUCACUCAUUUAAAUUGGAAAUCUAUUAAUUUUUCAAUGAAAAUAAUUUUAAUUUGGCUUUAAGUUAUUUCUCGGUUAUAUAUAGAUAUAUGAGCAUACACAAGGUUUUUUUUUAAUAUUUAUUAUUUGAAUUUUAUUUUAUUCAUAAUCUCUUUAGAAUAUUAUUUGUUGGAAUUAAUUGCUAUGUUGUUAUUCUUCCAAAAAUAUUUUUUUUUGCUUAAAAAAUGAAUUUCUUCGAACACUAAAUUCGCUACUUUAAGUUAAUAAAAUCAUUUCCUUUUUUUUGGUUUCCUUUUAUUUAUUUAUUUUAAAUUAUAAUAUUUAUCAAUAAUAAGAUUUGUCUAUAAAAUGUUAAAAAAAAAAAUCAUCCUCUCAUUGUUUAACUUAUUUUUUAUUUUUACUUUUUUGUAUUUAUAUUUUAAUUUUAGUUUUAUGUUUAUUUUUAAUAUUUAUUUUUCACUUCUCGGUCAGAAUUUUUCUUUUUUUAUUUAUUUUUUUAAAUUUAUUAUUAUUAUUUCUUGUUGACAUCCUUUUUUUUAUAUAUAUAUAUAUAUAUAUAUAAACGUAAUAAUAAAAUAAAACACCAUGAAUAAAGUGAAGGAAAAAACUAACAUGUGAAAAAAAAUUAAAAAACUUGGUGGAGAAGUGUAGUGCGAGAGCCUAAUGUCUAAUGAUGAUGGAAUAAUCCCACCAAACCCGAAGAAAAGUAAAAGGUGAUAAGAAAAAGAGAAAGUGAGAAAAUAAUAAAUAAGAAGAAAGAGUUGCUUUUAACUUUCUUCAUUACUGUCCUGAAGGUCACCGGAAGUCACCUGCCAUCCCAAUUUAUAGAGAGAUGCCCCUAAUUUUCCUCGUCACUUUUCAGAAGGUCAUAGGAAGCCACCUGCCUUCCCAACUCUUUAUGUAUAGAUAAAUGAUAAUAUUUAUUAAUAAUAAGAUUUAUCUAUAAAAUGUUAGAAAAUGAAUAUAUCAAUCCAGUGAAUUUAAUUUUUACUUUUUUCUUUUUAUAUAUUUAUCAUUUAAUUUUUGCUUUUAUUUUUUUUCUUUUUAGUCUUAUAUUUAUUUUUCACUUCUCGAUCAAAAUUUUUAUUUUCUAUUUACUUCUAUUUUUUAUUUCUUUUUUAAGUACUUAUAUAUAAUAAUAAUUAAUAAAUAAAAUAGGAGACCAUGAAUAAGGUGAAGAAAAAAUAAAAUAAAAAAACUUGCUGGAGAAGUAAAGUGCAGGAGUUUGAAGGAUGAAUGUAAACAAGAGAAAAAAGAGAGCAAGAGAAAAGCAAAAGGUAAUAACAAAAAGAGAAAAGUGAGAAAAUAAUCAAUAUAGAGAGAGAGAGAGAGAGAGGGAGAGAGAGUGGCCCCUAACUUUCCUCAUCACUUUACAAAGUUCACAAGAAGCCAUCUGCCUUCCCGGAACUUUCUAUAUUGUAAACUAGGGUUGCUCACUAUCUUCAAGAGAAAUCAAGCCUCAAACUGUCUCUUGUAGUUUUGAGAAAUCAGGCCAAUUUAGUGAAUGAAAUUCUUACUCAAUUUCUUUGCCAAAGAUAUCGUUCAUUCUGAUAUGUUUUUUUUAUAAAUGUUUUAUUUCUUUUCAGUUUUUGAUCUUGAGGUAUUUUUUCUAAAUAAUUUGUUUUUUUAGAUAGAUCAUUUUAUAUAUCCUUCUUAUUUUAAAUAAAACAAGUUUCCAAUGACAAAUUUUUUAAGAGUUUUUAAUGUGAAAUUUUCUAAAAUUUUAUCUUUUUGUCAUAAUGUUUCCUUUUGUUGAUAUUUUUUUUGCAAAGUCAAAGAGAUAAUGUGAAAUAAUAACUAAUUUAAUAUAAGGUUAGCAAUUUAAACCUCACAACUAUAAAAAUGCAAGUGAAAAUAGAAGUGAAGGUGGAAAUUCUUUGGUUGGUCAGAUGAGAGGACUUGGUAGAGAUAAUUUUUAGAUGUAAGUAAGUAGAAAUGUUUAUAGGAUGGCGAAAGAAUUAGUAAAGAAAUUUGUUGAAUGUAACACAAAAAUUUCUUAGAUGAAUUGGUAAAGAAAUUUGUUGGAUGUAAUGGAGAAAUUUAUUAAUAAUCACAUGAUUAGUAGUAGAGAAUUUUCUGGAUGGCCAUAUAUAAAUGUGAAUAGUGGACAAUUUCUUAGAUGUCACACAAUUAGUAGAAUAGAGAAUUUUCNNNNNNNNNNNNNNNNNNNNNNNNNNNNNNNNNNNNNNNNNNNNNNNNNNNNNNNNNNNNNNNNNNNNNNNNNNNNNNNNNNNNNNNNNNNNNNNNNNNNAAAGAAAUUUGUUGGAUGUAAUGGAGAAAUUUAUUAAAUAAUCACAUGAUUAGUAGGUAGAGAAUUUUCUUGGAUGGCCAUAAUAAUUAAAUGUGAAUAGGUGGACAAAUUUCUUAGAUGGUCACACAAAUUAGUAGAUAGAGAAUUUUCUUCUAUUGUCAUAAUUGAAUAUGAAUAGGUGGACAAUUUCUUAGAUGGUUACAUGAAUUGCUAGGUGAGAAUUUUCUUGGAUGACCACAAUCAUUGAAUGUGAAUAGGAGGAAAAGUUUCUUGGAAGGUGACAAAGAUUGGUGGAAAAAUUUUCAAUCAAGUUGAGAAAUUUCUUCCAUGAUAACAAGAAUUGAUGGGGAAAUUUCUUAAAGGUGGAUAAUUAGGUUGAGAAUUUUUUUGGAUGGCAACAAGAAUUGGUGAAGAAAUAUUUUGGAAGGAUAGAGGAAACUACAAAAAGUUCCAUUUGUUUCAAACAACAUUAAAAGUGUGUUUAGUAAUGUUUUCAUUUGAAGUACUUUUAGUGAAUGUGUUUUUUUUAGAAAUAUUUUUGGAAGAAUCACUUGUAAAGUGUUUUAGGAAACAUUACAAGCGAUUUUUUAACAUUUUAAAUGUGUUUUCUAAAUUUUAUUAAAUACUUGGUUUUUCUUUUAAAAAAAAAUGUUUUUUGGUUUUAUGCUAGAAGUGAAUUUUUAAAUUUUAUCAAAUAUAUGAUUUUUCUUCAAAAACGUUUUUUAUGCUAUAAGUGCUUUAUAAAAGCACUACCAUGACCUUGACCUUUUGCCUCUAAUAAGGCUAAAGUGAUGACUAGUUGGUGAUUGCGUAUCUCUGCUAGUUUUAGCAAGUGAAUGUGCUCGCUUACUUGCUUUGCUAAAAAUGCAAUGAAUGUCUUUGCUUUGCUGUAGUCAUAGGACUCAUAGAGGUGUUGUGUCUUAACUUUGCAUACUAGAAAUUUGUACGCGUAAAAUUUGAAAGUCCUAUAAAAAAUAAGUAAAAAGAUGAGAAAAAUAUAUAAACAAAAUUAUUUGUAUUAGAAAAUUUUGAAGGUACAAUUUUCUAGAAUAAUAUUCUUUACAAAAUAAUAAUUUUUUUCUUAUUUGAUCACAAUCCAUAAAAAUAUAUAAACAAAAUUAUUUGUAUUAAAAAAAUUUUAAGGUAAAGUUUUUGGCUUAUUAUCAAAUUACUUUUGUUGAACUUUGAAUACAUAUUUAGUAUUUUGUAUGCUUCCCCAAAUUUACAAGAAUAUCUUAUGAAACCUCUUUUUAGUUCUCUUUUAAAUUUGAGAUCUCAAAUACUUUAUUGCUCAAAGCCCUAGAGCUUAAGGAAUACCACAGAGAACCGCUAACAUAUAUGCAUUUUGACGCUAAGUAUGGAAAACAAAAAAACAUAUUCUUUUUCUAAAAAAUUUAUAAUAUAAAAUAAAAUAAAAUAAAAUAAUAUUUUAAAAAAUUAUAAAAUUAGUUAAAAUUAAAUAAUUUAAUUUUACUUUAGUUUCAAUAUAUUUACAUUUAAAUACCAUAUAUAUUUCAUUUAAUAAUAUUUAAAAUAUUAUUAUAUUUAUACUUAUGCAUGAUUUAAUUUAAUAAUAUUAAAGAUAAAAAAUAAAUAUUAUUGAUUUUUAAUUUGGUUAUAUAUAUUUUAAAAUUUUUUAUUAUUUUUAAAUUUAAUAAUAUAUAAAUUAUAUAUUUACCAUAUCAUCAAUUCUAGGUGAUUUAACUAUUAGUCUAACUAGUGAACCGUGAACCAAUAAUUUUUUCGAUUUAUUAUCCGAUCUGAUUCCAAAAACAUUGUUUAAUAUUUAAUAUUUCAAUUUUAUGUUAUUAAUGAUCUCAUUAGAAUAUUAUCAAGGUUUUUAUCAGAAUUAAUUGUUAUGUUGUUAUUUUUCCAAAAUAAAUUUUUUUUCUUCUUAAAAACUAAGUUUCUUCCCACACUAAAUUCACUACUUCAAGUUAAUAAAAUCAUUUCCUCUUAUUCCAGGUAGCUUUUAUUUAUUUAUUUUAAGUUACAAUAUUUAUCAAUAAUGAAAUUUGUCUAUAAAAUAUUAAAAAAUAAAUACAUCACUAAUUCUAAAUAUAUCAAUCCAUCCCCUUAUUCUUUAAAUUAUUUUAAUUUUUAAUUUUUAAAAUUUAUAUUUAUAUUUUUUUAUUUUAUUUUUAGUUUUAUAUUUAUUUUUCACUUCUCGAUCAUAAAUUUUCUUUUUUAUUUACUUUAAUUUUUUAUUAUUAUUUCUUGUUGAUGUCCUUAUAUAUAUAUUCGAAAAAAUAUAUAAAACAUAAUAAUAAAAUAGGAGAGCAUGAAUAAAUUAAGUGAAGGAAAAAAAUGUUAAAUAAAAAAUAAAAAAAAUAAAACUUGNGGGAGAAGUAAUUGAAUAANNNNNNNNNNNNNNNNNNNNNNNNNNNNNNNNNNNNNNNNNNNNNNNNNNNNNNNNNNNNNNNNNNNNNNNNNNNNNNNNNNNNNNNNNNNNNNNNNNNNAAAAUAAAAACUUGGUGGAGAAGUAAUUGAAUAAUCGAAAUUCAAUUACUUUCCCGUCACUUUUCAGAAGUUGACAAAAAGCCACCUCCUUCCCAACUUUUUAUAUUAUAAAUUAGGGUUGCUCACUAUCCUCAAUAAAAAUCAAGUCACAAAUUAUGAGGUACAAUUGUUUGAAGUAAUAUUUUUUUAUAAAAAGAAUAUUCUUUUAUUGGAUGAUUUUAAUCACAGUCCAAAGAAUGAUGAUACCAGUUUCUUCUUCAAAUUGACAUCCAAUUCAAGACUUAUUUUUGAAUGACAUUUGUUGAAUUUUGGGAAUGAUGAAGAAGAUAUGUAUAGUAUUUAAAUUAUUCCUCAAUUAUAUAUGUAUAUAUGUAUAUAGAAAAGAUUAUUUUUUAAUAUUUAAUAUUUGAAAUUUAUUUUAGUAAUGAUCUCUUUAGAAUAUUAUCACGAUUUUUAUUGGAAUUAAUUGCUACUUUCUUAUUCUUCCUUCUUCCAAAAAAUAAAACUAUUUUUUUGCUUUAAAAAUAAAGCCCUUCCAAUACUAAAUUGACUACUUCAAAUUAAUAAAAUAAUUUCUUCUUAUUUUAGUUUACUACAAUUGGUCAAUAAUAAGAUUUAUCGAUAGAAUAUUAGAAAAUAAAUAUAUUAUUAAUUCUAAAUAGAUGAACCCAUUCUUCUUUAAUAAAUUUUAUUAUAAUUAUUUAAUAAACAAUUAAUAUCUACCUAUUUUAUGAUUUUAUUUUAAAACAUUUAUAUUUAUUUAAAUAAUUAUAUUAAUUGGUAAAAUCAUAUUUGUUUUCUUAGAGAGAGGAUAAGAUUAAAUUUUAUUAUUUGUUUAAAAAAACAUAACAUUUCAAAUUGUAAUUCAAAGACAUACAAUCUAUAUCAAGUUUUAUAAUAAAUUAAUACAUUAUUUAUUUAUUUCCUAUAUUUAUUUUUAUUAAUAGCUAACUUUGUUUAAAUUUGAAGUUAAGUCUUAUAAUAAUUUAAUAAAUUUAUUAUUUAUUUUUAUAUAUUUGCUCUUAUUAAUUUUUUUCUUCUUCUUUUUUAUCAAUAAAUUAAAAUAUGAAUUCAAAUAUAUAACGAUUGUUUUUAAGAUAUUGAAAUUAGAAGGAUUAUCAUAUGUCUAUACAUAUCUUCUAAUAUUAAUAUUUGGAAUAAAAAGUUUAGAUAAUACAUAAUAAGUAAUUAAUUAUUUCUUAUUAAAUUAAUUAGUCAUAAUGAAUAUAAUUAUAAUUAAUUUAAUUUAUUGUUUACUAUUAAAUAAACAAGCAUAUUAUAUUAUUUGUAGAAUUUUGAAAAGUAAAAUACCUAUUCAAAUAAGAUUUAUAAAUUUUAUAAAAUUAAAUCAAGAAAAAGUAUACUUUAAUCAUAGUUUUCUUCCAAAUAUGGAAGUGGGGACAUUUAUGAAUAUUGACAAAAAGAAUAGACCUUUGUGACACAUCAUAAUUAGAAAAUAAGUAAGUUUUAAAUUAAAAAGAAACUUUAAUUUUAAGUUAGAUAAUUAUUUGAAUUUUAAAAUCAAUGUAUCAUUAUCUACAAUUUUAUAUAAAUAUAGAAAUUAUUUAGAGUGAAAAAGGAAAAGAAAAAAAGAGUUGGAUAGUAUUUUCUAGUUUUGUUGUGAUGAUAAUUAGUCAUCACCAAAUCUAUCAAAAGAACAAUAUCUUCAUUAGGAAAAUGAAGUAAAACAAUUAUUAUUUUUUGUCCUAUAUAUAUAUAUAUAUAUAUAUAUAUAUAUAUAUAUAUAUAUAUAUAUAUUUAUUUAUAUAUAUUUCAUUUCAUAAAUUGAAUUUUUUAAAAAUAAAAAAUAAUAAUUUAGAUUACCAAAAAGUUUAUAUUUUAAUUUUAUAUAUUUAAUAAAUAAUAAUUUUAUCAUCAUUAAUAUUUGUUUGUGAUGAAUAUCUUUUUUAUUUUUCUUUUAAUUAAAAAAUGGAAAUGGAAAAGAGGAUGUGAUUGGAAUUUCUUUUUAAAUUUAUUAUUUUCAUUCAAAUAAGUGUAAUUAUUUUAUACCCUACAAUUUCUUUAUUUUUCACUCUUCAAACGCCAAAAAAAAUUCUAAUUGUAAAGAAAAAAUUGAAUUAUUUAUAUGAAUUCUAUAGCUAUUCAUAAUAGUAAAAAAAAUUAUUAAAAAUCAUUAUCUAAGCAUACUUCUUAUCUAUAAUUCAAUAUAAAUAAAAAAGUUAUUUACAAAAAACAAAAAUAAAUUAAACUCUUUUUAAGGAUUUUACUAAAUACCCUCAUAAAAAAAAUAUCCUCAUGUUUCAAAAGUUCAUUGAAAUACAAUUUUCGCAUAGUAAUUGAAGGAGAUAUUGACAAUUGUGCAAACAAGUUUGAAGCAUUUCUAAAAAGGAAUCGACAAAUUUGAGAAAAGAGUUAGGGAAAGUUGUGUUUUCAUGGACCAAUUUGCUAAAUAUAUGGUUUUUGGAACCCAGAUUUAUGGAAUAUGAAAAAUAUAUUUCAAUGUGGAAACUUAUAUCAGAUUCAUGCACUCUGAGCCUGCUGUAUUUUUUCUACCGAAAUUGCCCCUCCAGGUAUCCACAUCAGCAACCCAUCUCAGCAAGGGUUGAAACUGAACCGGUUGAAAACUCCAAAAUCAAAUGUUAAGCUUCCCACAAAAACACCUAGCCGACGGUUCUUUCUUCCCUCUUUCUCAUUUGAUACCCAUUCCUCUCAGUUGUCUUCACUCCGUCACCAAGGCGAUUUGAGAUUCCCAGAAAAACGGUGUAGCCGACGCUUGAAGACCCUUGCCGACGGUUCUUUCUUCCUUCUCUCUCAUUCCAUACCCAUUCUUCUCAUCUGUCUUCACUUCGUCAGCGAGGCGAUUUGAGCUUCCCAGAAAAACGGUUAGGUCUUUCUUCCCUCUCUCUCAUUCCUUACCUGUUCCUCUCAUCUGUUUUCACUUUGUCACGGAGGCGAAGCAGAGAACCAUGUAGAGUGUUAAAAAAGUUCUGUCAUUUCAGUUGAGAAUGGCUUAAUCCCAUUUGUUUCAUCUCAGAUUUUCUGUCUCGAGGUAACGCAUUCCUUCCUUCUGUCAUUUCAGUUGAGAAGGGCUUAAUCCCAUUUGUUUCAUCUCAGAUUUUCUGUCUCGAGGUAACCCAUUCCUUCCUUGUUUUGCAUUCGCAUUUACAUUCACGUAAAUAUGUUGUUUGUGUGGGUUUUUUAUGAACUAGGUGUGGCUCAAAUGUUGGCAUUUAGGAGUUGGUACUAAAUUUUUAAAUCUAUUCGUAAUAAAUCAUCAUCAAUUUUUUCAAUUCCAUGCAUUUUUUGAGUUUUUACUGUUUUAUUUGGAUUGGCAAAUUCUCGAAAAUCUAUUGUUUUGAUAUAAAAUGAAGGCAAGAAUAUGGGUUGGGAAUUGUUUUUGUUGUGGUUUAGAAUUGGGAAAAACAUAUUUUGAAUUGGUUUGCCAAAAAAGGAAUUUUUUUUUCCCCAAACUGUUUUUGGGUAUUGGGAAACAAUGCAUUUUUAGUGAAACCCAUUUAUUGGAUUGUGUUUUUGGAUUGGGUUAUGCAGUGGAUUACCAAAAUGGAACACUUUUUGGGGAUGAUGUAUUUCUUUUGAGAGCGAAAUAAGUGCUUCUGAAAUGGUGAUUUAUAGAUUCGAAAUUACUCAUGUUUUUGGGUUUUUGUGAUAUUCAUGGUUAGUGGGUGCUAACGUUUUCGUUGUUGUUUUUUUAUUUUUAUUUUGUAUUUGUUUUAUAUGUAUAGUUUAAAUUCACGGCCCAUUUCUUCAAAUAUUUUUGGUUAGUAUAUGUUACUCUUCUUGUUGAUUAGUAAUUGAUAUUGAUUUAGAGAUCUCUUCUCGUUGCUCUCGUUGUCAUAUGUCUGGCCACAAUAGAAAAACCUGCAGGAAACCUUUGCCCUAAAUGCAUAUUUGUCACCUUAUUGCAUUAUGUAGAUCUUGUCUUACUCUAUUUCAAGUAUCUUUAGUGAAUUGGUUGUCACCAAAUCAGCGUUACUAUGUUCAUUGAGUUAAGUUAUAUUGCUUUGAUUAUUAAUUUCUUUCACAAUGUCCGAACUAUGGUUGCACUACAGUUUGUUUUAUUGGUAUUUACUCCAACCGCAUGUAUUGCCUCCCAUUACAUUGCUUAAACCAAUUUAACCAAACUGCAGCAUAUGUUUCCAUGUAUAAAGACUACUGCUUUGUUGUACUAUAUAGUACGCCUACGCAAUAACAUGAAUUGUAUACCAUUGAAUCAAUGUAUUUUGUUAUUCUUAGUUUUUCCCUCAUUUCCCCUUUCUGUCGCCGCCACAGCUUAUCUUCACUUGUUUGUUAGUCUUCUCAUAGUUUUGACAGUUCCGAUUUGUUCAUUAGUGCAUACUGACUUUAAACUAAUUGUACAGGAGCGUGUUGAAAAUUUGGGAAACAUUUUUUUCCAUCAGUGUUCAUAGUUUUCUUCUUCAUGUUUCAGAGCUGUUGAUCUUGUGCUAAACCAAUGACAUUAAUAUAUAUCACAAUAAUCUAUUUGAAGUCAUACGUGUCUCAUUUUUACUCCUUUGUACAACUUUCAUAUCCAUAGGCUUCAAUGUUCAUAAGGCCAUUGAUUACUUUGUAGGUUUCGAAACUCGCCGAUUCAGUAUCGCCAUCCAAACAUACUGAUUAUACACAUGGCAACAGAAAAGAGAAAAAGGAAGGAGCAUGUUCCACCAACAUGCACACAGGUGGGUAAAACAGAUUUCAUUGAACAAUGGCUCCAAUCUUCAAAUUCAGCUUAAUUGGAAAUUUGCAUAUAUUGGAUUUUUUUUGUCACUAACCCAUAUUUCAUUUUAACUGUAGGUUAAGCUUCCUAAGUCCCGAUGUUCUGGGAAGAAAUUCAUAACUGCCAUUGCACGCCUAGCCCCUGAAAAAUAGCAAGCCAUUAGAGAGAUGGGCUUUGGGGGCCUACUGACUUUUGCUUGCCACGAACUAAGAUAUGAGCUAUGCGGGUGGCUCAUAUCUCAAUAUGACUUUACCUACCAUAGACUUAAUAUGGAAACCGGCAAUGCUAUCACUGUCAAUGAAGAACAUGUCAACAAAGUGAUGGGCAUCCCUAACUUCGGGGUAGACGUGGUUAUCCUUAAGAGAACAACCCCGUCCAAUCGCACAUACACUCUCAGGGUACUGGAGCAAAACCUUGAGAACUUGCCCGUGUGUGAUGAAUUUUUAAAAUCAUUUUUAAUUUUUUCAUGUGCCACUCUACUGGCACCUAAUUCAAAGCUUGAAGGAAGCCAUGACCUUUGGGACACCAUAUGGGAUGGUGAUGUUGGUGUCCAAAGGAAUUGGGAAAAGUUUCUGCUGAAACACUUAGAAGAUGGAAUCAAGGAAUAUCGACAAAAGCAGCCUACUUACAUCCGAGGCUGCCUCAUGUUCCUCCAGGUACAGUUUAGGCUCCAACCCCUUUUGCAAUUAGUAUGAACUUAGUUUACAUUUUAAUUUGAAUGUCAUGCUUACUGCAAUUUGCUGUUUUAAUGCUCCUUGUUUCAUAUACUUCCCUUGGACAGCUGUUCUACAUGGCAUACUUCUACAUGCCAUCAGUCAAUGUUGAAGUGACCAGCCCGCUAGCUGCUGCAUGGACUGACGAUGUAAUGAAACGCCGAUUAGCAGCUGAAAUAUCAACAUUCGAUGGUUAUGGAUAUGUGCAUGUAUGCUCUAACUUAACAAAGCUUUCCCUACUAGUUAAAUUACCAUAUUAGCCUCGCACCAGUAAUAACCAAUUUGUUGAUUCCCUCAUUUAAAUAAUGAUGCAAGACACAGGCACAGGAGCGAGCACAAAGCACAACCAAUAUGAAUAUACCAUCAGUAGCCUCAACCUCUACAGCUGAUGACGAGGCUACAGAGGUAGUUCUUCUUCACUAACCACUCAUACAAGUUCUUCUAUACAAUGCAUACAAUACUAUUCUAAAACUAUUCUGUUUUCCACUAUGUAAUAGGUAAUUGAAGCCCGUGUCAUUGACACAUCGGAGAGUAUGGUACGAUUAGCUUCCUCUCUGGCGCGGGAUGUUGCUGCACUAUGUUCCCGCCGAAGUGGACCAGAGGGGAUAUCUUCAAUCCCUUGCCCAAAAGCACAGCACCACGCUGAAUAUCAACCAAUGCGCGAAACACCGGGCAAGCAGACGUCAGCUGAUGAAAUGGAACCACAAGAUAACCUCGCACCAACCCCCCAUUCUCCAAUUGGAAUGGAACCGUCACCAGAAGCCACUCAUUCCGAGCCAAUGGCCCCACAGUCUCAUGCAGAGGCAUCGCUUCCACCACAAGUGACAACAGAAGAAGUGCGAGAAUGUGAUAGGGUAGGUGGGAGUGGUAAUCAAGCCAUUAAACCUUCAUCUAUCAACAGAUUUAAGCGGACUUGUAAGAGGAUAGUGAAGCGUCCUCCCACUUGCAAAAGUCCAUUUGUCACCCAAUGCGUUAAACAAUUCCCUAAAAUCCCCCAUGCUCAUCGGGUAGUAGCAGAUUACGCUUUGGCAGAAAUUGGUGAUCCUAGGUACAUUUCAUUUUUCUAAAAAUAAUUCUUGCAAUCAUUUAAUAUGUGAAUAACUUUACAUCAUUAUGACAUUAUUCAUUUUCAAUCAUUCUAGCGAGAUUUUAUGCGAGAUGUAUGGGAUGUACAUUACCCGAGAAGAAAUUUCUUGUCUAAAUGCAGGGCGGUGGGUUAAUUCAGUAGUAAGUUACUUAUCUUUAUGUUGAAUUAAAUUCAAAAUUAAUAGGUCAUAUAAUGUAUAAAGUGUUGAUGGGGUUGUAAAAUAUGUUCAUUUCUACAACUUUGCCAAAUUGUGGCGAUUGUCUCUCGCAUGAUGAAUGGACAGCAAGCACCACCAGCGCGCACACACUAUUUUGAUCCUUCGUUCUCGGUGAACCCUCUAAUAUCCUAAAUUGACAUAGUCUCAAAAUAGAAUAGCAUUUGUUGAUGUUUGUAUUGAUAACCCCACUCGUGAACAGGUGAUUCUGACCAACUUGAAAACAAAUGCAACCAGCCAAGUGAUCAUGGAUAGAUGUCGCAUGUAUCUGGAUGCUGGUAUAUUGGGCCAUGAUUUGGGGACAUGUGACAUGGUAAAUAACGGUUGUUAAAUUUCAUUUCCAUAGUAAUAUAUGCAAUGGCAUUGGACAUGACUAUUAUCUUAUACCAUAAAAGGUAAUAACUCUUUUAUGAUCAUGCAGAUGUUCAUCCCAGUUUGUGAGAACAAUCACUGGCACAUGCAUGUAGUUAAUUUUGCAGCUGGACGAGUUGAAAUUCUUUCAUCUUUGCCCUUGAGGCGAGGAAACAGUAUUAGUGCUGCAACAAAGCGAUUAUCUAUGGCAAUCAAUAAAGCACUGCAUGCAUAUGCAAUUCAUAUGGACGUGGAUGUCUCGACUUUUGAGCAUGUCCAACCACACCUUGUGCAACAACUGAAUGGGUAAAAUAUUCAUAUAUUCUAACCAAAACGGACAUUUGAGGUGAAUUUUUUUUCUUAGAUUUCUAUGAUAUACAUGACAAGCCUAAAUGUGAUGUGUUAUAGGUUUGACUGUGGUAUCCUUGCCCUAAAAUUCAUGAAAUUUUGGAAUGGGGCCACCUUAACUACUUCAGUGGCAGAGGUUAGAGCUAGUUUACAUCCUAAUUGGUUUUGUUUUUUUUUAAAAAAAAAAACAGUAUAAAAUAAGUUUUUCCCAUUUCUGUAGGACAAGCUCAACAUGUACAGACUCCAGCUUGUUGUGGAACUAGUGCUCAAUGAACGCAACACUGUUAGAGAUAAAAUUAUGGCCUCCUGUCAUUUGUGACUUCAUGGUUGAUGAUAAGUUUUUUCCUAUCUGAAGCUACUUACCAUAUAAAGCAAUACUUGAUUGUAGUUUGUCCACAAAUGACUGAAUUCAUAUCCUGUUAUGUGAUGAUGUGAUUUUGUUCCCAUUCUAAAACCAUUAUUUAUGUUCUAUAUUUAUUGUAUCUUAUUAAGUAUACCACAUCCCAUUGUAAUAGUGACAGUAUGGUGAUGCUGAAUGUCAGAACUUUAUGUACAACAAUGGGCAACGCGUAAGGGAAAGAAAGACUGCAUGGUGAUGCUAUUGCUAUAGCUUACAAGAGGGAGUAAUAUCAGAAUGAGUCAUAUGUUAUCCUCUUUCUUCGGAUUGUAUGAAGCAAACUUGGUUUACCAUAUGAUCAAAAUUAGGUUUAUUUGGUUUGUUGACUAUAUUACAAACAUUUGGCUGAUGUACACAUUCCAAGGACUAUGUUUGUGUUUUGUUUUAUACAGGAAAUCCUAAUAUAGAUAAGGCAUUUGUUACAUAUCCUUUCAAUUUUUUCCCUGUUCCAUCCCAAUGUCCUCUCCAAAUAUAGUUCAAAAAUAAUGAUCCUUUGUUGAAGUAGAAUGUUACAAACCAUGGUGACAAAUUUAGGUGUCAUGGGUGAUGGUGAAGACAUUGGAUGGUAUUCGUAAUGAAUCAUUGAAGACUAUUGGCACUGGUCAUUUUUUUAGAUUGUCAUGUGCUGAGAUAAUUCUUUGUUACAUAUCACGAGUUUUUUUUCUUUUAGUUAAUAAUAUUAAGUGAUGAUCUGGCAUUUCAUCAUGUUCUUAAUAUUUGGCUUAGCUCUUACUCAUGAAGAAUAUUUCUCCUCAUCCUUCGGUCCCUAACUUAACAUCAUUAGGGAAAUGAGAAUUCUAAUGUUGAUCUUGUAGGGCUGGCACUCGCUCUCCCAAAGAAAGAGCAUCCCCAUUUGCAAAAAGUUAUAUAGGGUUCCAAAAUGGUUUUGCAUGUAGCAUGUUUUGCUUCCAACAAUCUAUAGGUUGUGAUAGGCAAAUAAAUAUAUGUUACAAAACCAAAAAAAAAAAUUGGUUCACAUGAUCACAUUCCAUAUCCAACCACAACCCUUCAAAAUCUAGAUGAAUACCAAAAUGGGAAGACAACUGUUUACUUAAAUAAAUAGUCACAACAAAAUAUUGACAAAAGAACAACAUUUCUCGAAUGUCCAUUUAGGUAGUACAUGAGGUACAUUAAGGUAGUACCUAAGGGUCUUAAGGUCGUACCUCAUGUGCAUUAAGGUAGUACCUUCAAUUUCUGAUGAUUACAUAAGCUAUCGAAUGAGUCAGCAAGAGGAACAUAACAAUGGCAUGCUGUAAAUAUUAAUGCAAUGAACUAAUUGUAGCUUAAGUUAUAGAAGAGCAACAUUUCUCCAAGGUGCCUUAAGGUAGUACUUGAGGUACAUUAAGGUAGUACCUAAGGUUAUUAAGGUAGUACCUCAUGUGCAUUAAGGUAGUACCUCCAAUUUUUUAUGAUUACAUAACUGACCGAAUGAGUGAGCAAUAAGAAUAUAAUAAUGGCAUGCUGUAAUAUGUAAUGCAAUGAACUAAUUCUGACUUAAAUCAUAGAAGAGCAUCAUUUCUCUAAGGUGCCUUAAGGUAGUACCUCAGGUACAUUAAGGUAGUACCUCAUGUCAUUAAGGUAGUACCUCAUGUGCAUUAAGGUAGUACCUCAAAUUUUUUAUGAUUACAUAACCUACCGAAUGAGUAAGUUAUAAAAACAUAACAAUGGCAUGCUGUUAUAUGUAAUGCAGCAUGACAUUGUUAUGUUCUCAUAGGUUACUCCAACGGUACCUUAUGUAAUCAUAAGAAAUUUCAGGUACUACCUUAAUGCACAUAAGGUACUACCUUAAUGGUCUUCAGGUACUACCUUAAUGUACAUAAAGUACUACCUUAACGAACCUGCGAGAAAUGUAGCCACUUUGUGGCUUUAGAUUUUUAUUAGUUAAUUUCAUGACCUAUUGCAGCAUGACAUUGUUAUGUUCUCAUAGGUUACUCCAACGGUACCUUAUGUAAUCAUAAGAAAUUUCAGGUACUACCUUAAUGUACAUAAGGUACUACCUUAACGCACCUGCGAGAAAUGUAGCCACUUUGUGGCUUCAGAUUUUUAUUAGUUAAUUUCAUGACCUAUUGCAGCAUGACAUUGUUAUGUUCUCAUAGGUUACUCCAACGGUACCUUAUGUAAUCAUAAGAAAUUUCAGGUACUACCUUAAUGCACAUAAGGUACUACCUUAAUGGUCUUCAGGUACUACCUUAAUGUACAUAAGGUACUACCUUAACGCACCUGCGAGAAAUGUAGCCACUUUGUGGCUUCAGACUUUUAUUAGUUAAUUUCAUUACCUAUUGCAGAAUGACACUACCUUAAACCAUAUUCGAUAAAUUUUACUCUCCCGACAAUUUUUCACUCUCAAUAUUUAUUUAAUCAUACUGUUGUUUUCUCAUUUUUCUGGUUAUGUCAAGUUACGAUGGUUGUGGUUGGAUACGGAAGGUGAUCAUGCGAAGCAAAUAUUUAUUGGUUUUCUACCACAUUUAUUUUUUCUAUAACAACCUGUACAUGGUUUGAAGCAUAAAAUUAGCAAAAUGCACAAUCAUUUAGGAACCCUGAGUAGCCCGUGCCAAUGAGAAUGUGCAAUAGUCCUGAACCCUGGUAGUAAAUCACCAAUAACAUUAACACAAGAUGAUAUGUAAAAGCUUACACAAUAAGUAAAUAUGAAAGGAAAGUCGUCAAACAAUUUACUAAUGUGUGUAUGGAAGGAUAAACUGAAACUGCAUCAGUGUACAAACAAAUAGGUUCCAAUCUAUGUUUGUUGUUCUCUUAUGAAAGUAGUACCAUACCCCAUAAUCAACCUAUCACUGUGGAUCACAUCUUACAAUCACAGUUGUUGUCCAAUCAGUCGCCAAUACAACACUGACCAGCACCCUUAACUAUAAUAAAAGAACAAAUACUGAGUGUUGUCCAUGUUCCUACUCCCUUACUUUACAAUAUUGAAGGAAAAAUGAACAGCCCUAUUACAUUGCUGUGACUGCAUCCCAUAUGCUCCAGCAGCAGGAUUACCAGGUACUCUUCCUUUCCCUUACACGUUGGCCAUUCUUGUACAUAAAGUCCUCAUAUUCAGCAUAAUUCAUUUUAACUGUUACAAUGGGAUGUGGAAUACUUCAUCAGAUACAUCACAUAUAGAACAUAAAUAAUGGUUUUACAAUUGUAACAAAUCACAUCAGCACACAACAUGAUAUGAAUUAAUAAAUUUUGGACAUACUUAAAUCAACCCUUGGUCAUUUUGGUACGUAGCAGCAGAUAGGAAGAAACUUAUCAUGAACUAUGAAGUCACAAAUGACAUGCGGCCAUGAUUGUAUCUCUGACACUGUUGCAUUCAUUGAGGACUAUUUGCAGCUCUAGCUGGAGUCUGUACAUGUUCGUCUUGUCCUACGGAAAUGGGAAAAAAUUAUUCCAUGCGGUUGGGAAAAUAACACUCAAAUCAAAGGACAAAUAUGCACAUAAUUAAAUGAAACAGGCUAGCUGACACUGAUAUUAGCAACCAGCCUCUGAAAAAUGCCACCAAAUGAUGCCACUCAUUCAAAGUAUUUAUUUUCGGAUAAUUAAAUGAUGCCACCAAAUGAUACAUGGGAACACAAACUGCAGUAUGGUUGAAAUGGCUUAAGCAAUGUAAUCUUACCAAAUACAUGGGAUUUGAGUAAAUACCAUUAAAACAAGAUGUGGUGCAAACAUAGUUCGGACUUUGUGAAAGAACUGAAUCAGCAGAGAAAUAUAAUGUAACUCAAUGAACAUUGGAGGUGAAUGGAAAGGCACAAAACAUUCAAAUAGUAACGAUGAUUGGGUGACAACCAGUUAGUUGAAAUAGAGUAAUACAAGAUCAGCAUAAUGCAAUAAGUAGACAGAUAUGCAUUUAGGGCAAAGGAUUUUUGCAGGUUUUUCUAUUGUGGCCGGACAUAUGACAACGAGAGCAAUAAACAGGUCGUUUAUCUUGAAAUUGAGACUCAAUGCGCUUCUUCCUUGGCCUUCCGAGAGGGCGCUUUGUAUGUGGAGGCUUUAGAGAGAAGAACACCUCCCCGGUGAUAGAUCGAACCAAACCAUCAUCGUCCACAGUAGGCAUGUCAUGGGUCUCUAUGCCGGAGAAAGAGCCCCCAUAUAUCAACUCUUGCAUUGGGUAUUUGUAGCAAUCAUCGACGAAAUCAGUAACAUUUUGACCAAUGGAAAUAAUGACGGCUGUGGCAUGCUCACAAGGGAUUCCCAACAUCUGCCAACCCCUACAAGUGCAUGUAUGGUUCAGAAUGUCUACAUUCAACAAGGCUCUCCCGAUACAUACCCCAAAUACUCCAUUCUUGAACGGUGUGACUGGAUACACCGCACCCUUUGCAAUAUUUUCCUGCACCUUAGCUUCAAUUUUUGGCCCUAUACACCCUUUCCAAUUCUUAGACUCUUCUUGAUGCUUCACAAGCAUAGAAGCUAACUUGGACAUGUGCUCCAAUAAAAAGUUACAAAUAGAGUGAUGUCUUUCAAUCCGUAACCAAGCAUUAAAUGACUCGGCAAGGUUCGUAGUCAUUUUAUCCCAUCUUUGUUUUGGGAAUUUUGACAUGGCCCAAUGGUGCGGCGCAUUUUCUUCAACCCAUGUGGCUAAAGCCUCGUUGUAUUUUUUUAGUUCAACCAUGGAAACGUUAUAAUCAUGUUCUAGCCUUCCAUACGCAAUGCUAUCUAGGAAUUGCAAUGCAUUUUCUUUACCCUUGUUCCCUCGUGUGUUAUGCUUGGACAAGAAACUACUAAAAUUCUCCUUUAGGUGACGGUAGCAAUAAGCAUGGUUUUCAAUGCCAAACACCUCAGGAACACUACGAAGCAAAGCAUGAUGUCUAUCUGAGAUAAUAAUAACUUCCUUGUUUCCCACAACUAUCUUCAGUUUUUCCAAGAACCAUAACCAAUCUUCAUAAUUUUCCGAGCUCAUCACUCCAAAGGCUAAGAGGAACAUGGAGUCAUUAGCAUCGUAAGAGGUGGCUGAAAAUAGAGCACCGCCAUAAGGCCCACUCAUAUGGGCCGAAUCAAUUGCAAUGAUUGGUCGACACCCCCUUACAAACCCUUCGAUAGAUAUUGAAUGAGCAACAAAAAGCUUCUCAAAAUGGUCAUCAUUGGAAUAACUCAGCUCAACACUCGAUCCCGGAUUUGUUGCAAGCAUUCUUUCACACAUCCAUGGCAACAAUUUGUAAUAAUUCUUGGGUUGUCCAUAAAUGCGCUCCUUAGCCUUCUCCUUCAUUUGCCAUGCUUGUAGGUAAGUUAACUGGAUGCCAUGUUGCCUUACAAAGUCCUUACAAAUUUGGCGUGGUUGGUAUUCAGGAGUAGAUCGAAUGACAUCAUCAAUGACCAACGAUGCACGAGUGGAUCUCACUAAAGGCUGAGACAAGACAACAUCUUCCAAGCAAUGGUUAUGCACAUUUCGGAAUGUGUGUACUUGAACAAUGUUUGAAUCCCCUAUUGCACGCGCAGUGAUUUUCCAAGGACAAUCUUCAAUUGUGCAUACUACGGUCAUGUGUUUUGGACUAUUCCUUUUGUAAGAAUAUCGAAAUUUUCCAGCCAAAGACAUCAAAUAGAUUGCAUCUCGAAACUCCGACGCAUUUGGGAAGGUAUGUCCACUACCUACAAUUGAAUGUUCGAACCGGCUUGGUUGAAGUUGAACGGUAUUUGUCAUAGCACAUCUUUGGGAAAACCCAACUGACUGAAUUGUGGGCGACUCAUUAGAGAUGUGUAAUGGGGGCUGGCCAAUAGAGGAAACAUGAGCUGAGUUUGAAGCAACAAUGGGGGUUGGGCCACUGCAAAAAACAUAAGGAAAAAAUUUGAUCAUCCAUCAAUCUAAGUGUGAAAAGCGAUUAUACAAAAGGGAACAUUAUUGUGGAAGGACAUUAGGCACCUAGUAGGGCAAAUGAAGUCAUCACCACAUUCAGUACAAUGGGAGAUGUAGACAUGACAAAACAUGUCGUUGAAUUUGAACAUAUUGACUAUGUCGCCAUCAUUAUGCAGUGGCAAUAGACAUGAUGGGUCAAACUUGACUGUGAAUUCCAAUUUAAUGGAAUUGGAAUCCAAGUUCAAUACACCACAUACUUUUGAAACGAAUUCAGAUUGUGAGAUAUUCUUGCUAACAACACUGCAAUUGGUCCGACCUCCCUUAUAUUCGACGGACCCAACAGCAGUCUUAACAAGCUCACCACCUUCAUGAAUGUAACAAAACAUCUCCUCUUCCAUUUUCUUAUUGACAUAAAGAUUUGUUAAAAAUAAUACAACAAUGAAAGAUUGAGGAAUUAUGCAUGUUGAUUCCAUAGACUUUAAGGUUCAAACAUGCUAAUUAGCUGAUGCACACAAUUAAGGUUCAAACAUGCUAAUUGGCCGAUGCACACAAGUAGUGUACAAGUCCAACUACGGUAGUACCUAAGGAUAUCUAACCUAGUACUUAAAGAUUACUAAGGUUAGACCUAAGGUUAAUUAAGAUAGUACCUAUGGUACAGUCUCAAGUAAAGGUACGGGGGAACCAAAUGAGCAGAGUAGUCAAACACAUAAUGUCAUGAUAGCUUGUAUGUGGAAGUGAAUACAAUUUAAUUUAUGCAUGACUUGAAAACAGCCUGUAGGUCCUAUGUUUGACAAACUGAACCCCAUUGGGUUAACAAUAAAGACAACUUUUAUUCACAUAUGAAUUAUUUGAAUAUUAAAAAAUGAAGUUUCCAGUCGUCACACAACUUGUACCCAAUAUUGGUUCAGGUAGUACCUGAUGUUGACUAAUGCAGUACAUACAGUCGAUUAAGGUCGUACAUUCAGGAAUAAUGAGGUAGUACAUAAGCUUAACUUACCAGUACAAUAAGGUUAACCAACUGAUCACCAAAACAAACAAUAUAUAGAUAAAAAUGCAUUUCAUCCAUUCUGACCAGCAUUCCCUAUUUUCUAUUUAUGUUAUGAAGGGAAUUAAACCAAUGCAUGGAUACCAAUAGUUCCUAUAUAGCCUUUCCUAUUACCAUCUUCUAAAACGGAUCUCUGAAUCAAUAUCAAUUACUAAUCAACAAGAACAUUAACAUAUAGUAACCAUACAUAUGUUACUAUAUGUUUGAAGAAAUGGGACGUGAUUUGAAACUAUACAUAUAAAACAAAAACAAAAAAACACAACAAAAACUUUAGCACCCAUCAACCAUCAAUAUCACAAAAACCCAAAAAAUUGAGUAAUUUGGAACAACUUUCCCAUCUAAAAAUCACCAUUUAUUAAGAACUUUUUUCGCUCUCAAAAUGAAAACUUCAUCCAGAAAAAUUGUUCCCUUUUGGUCAUCCACUGCAUAGCUUAAUCCAAAAACACAAUCCAAUAAAUGGGUUUCACUAAAAAUGCAUUGUUUCCCAAUACCCAAAAACACCACUAGGAAAAAAAAAAUUCCUUUUUUGCUAAUCAAUUCAAAAUAUGUUUUUCUCAGUUCUAAGCCAAAACAAAAACAAAUGUCUUUUUCAACGAAACAAUUCCUAACCCAUAUUCUUGUCUUUACUUUAUAUCAAAACAACAGAGUUGCGAUAAUUUGUCAAUCCAAAAAAAACAGUACAAAAUCAGAUUUGCAAAAAGACGAUGAUGAUUCAUUACCAACAUAUUUAAAAUUUCAGUACCAACUCCUAAAUGCCAACAUUUCAACCACGCCUGGUUUAGAAAAAACCCACACAAACAGCAGAUUUUCAUGAAUGAGAAUGCGAAUGCAAAACACGGAACAAAUGGCUUACCUCGAUAGAGAAAAUCUAAGAUGUGACAAAUCGGAUUAAGACCUUCUCAACUGAAAUCUGCUUCGCCUCGGUGACGGAGUGAAGAAAUAUGAGAGGAAUGGGUAUCAAAUCAGAGAGAGGGAAGAAAGAACCCUCGACUACACUAUUUUUAUGGGAUUUUCUGCUUCGCCUUGGUGACCGAGUGAAGACAGAUGAGAGGAAUGGGUGCCAAAAUGAGAGAGAGGGAAGAAAGAACGGUCGAUCGGCUAGGGUUUUCUUGUGGGAACUUCUGCUUCGCCUUGGUGACGGACUGCAGAAAGAUGAGAGGAAUGGGUAUCAAAUGAGAAAGAGGGAAGAAAGAACCAUCGGCUAGGGUGUUUUUGUGGGAAGCUCAACAUUUGAUUUUGGAGUUUUCAACCGGUUCAGUUUCAACCCGUGCUGAGAUGGGUUGCUGAUGUGGAUACCUGGAGGGGCAAUUUCGGUAGAAAAAAUACAGCAGGCUCAGAGUGCAUGAAUCUGAUAUAAGUUUCCACAUUGAAAUAUAUUUUUCAUAUUCCAUAAAUCUGGGUUCCAAAAACCAUAUAUUUAGCAAAUUGGUCCAUGAAAACACAACUUUCCCAAAGAGUUAUUAGGCUCAAGCCCUUGUAUUAAAUGUAGGAUUAUAAAAUAUUUAAAAGAGGAAGCCUCGGGCCCACCAACUGCACCCAAACUUAAGUAGAAAUCAGUUUUACUUUUUACAGGAAGGUGCCUUGAAAUUGGAUGAAAUCACUAAAUUGCCAUCAAUAUUCUAAUCUUCCAAAUGAAAGGAUGGUAGUUUAAAAAAUAUAUGAAGAAAAUAAAAUUAAAUAAUAAUAAUAACAAAAUAUAUUAAAGAUAAUAGUAAGAUAGGAGAGCAUGAAUAUAAUGAAGAAAAAAAAUGUUAAAUAAAAUAAAAAACUUGGUGGUGUCCCACUUGAAAAUAGAAAAAAAAGAAAAAAGAAAAACGAAGGUAAUAAGAAAAAGAAAAAAGUGAGAAAAGAAUAUCUAAGUCAAUAGAGAGAGAGAGCGUUACCCUUAAUUUUCCUCGUCACUUUUCCGAAGGUCAUAGGAAGCUACCUGUCUUCCCAACUUUUUAUAUUGUAAUGUCCUUUUUAUAUUGUACAUGCUUUUCUAUACUCACAGGAUGUCUUAUAAAGUUUUUUCUUUUUUCAAUUUAUUCAUUUUAUUUCUUGGAUUGAUUUUCAUGUGAAAAUUCAUUUUAUUUUAAAAAAAUAAUUAUUUUACUGAUUUUUUUAAAUAUUUGAUAUCUCUUAAAUCAUUCAUAAAAUGAAUUAAUUUUUUAAUAAAAGUAUUUUUAAUUUAGAUUUAAAUUAUUUUUCAAUUAUAUUUAGAUGUAUGCAUAUAAAAAAGAUUAUUUUCUAAUAUUUAAUAUUUAAAAUUUUAUUUUAAUAAUAAUCUCUUUAGAAUAUUAUCACGAUUUUUAUUAGAAUUAAUGGUUACAUUUUUAUUCUUCCUUCUUCCAAAAAUAUUUGUACUUCAAAGAUAAAGCUCUUCCAAUAUAAAUGACCCGAGAGACACAGAGCUGUCCCUAACUUUCCUCUUCACUUCCUGGAAGCCGCCUUGCCUUCCCAAUUUCUUAGAUUAUAAGUUAGGGUUGCACAAUCUCCUCAUUCACUCACUAUCCUGAAGGGAAAUCAACCCCUCUAAACUGUCUUUGUAGUUUUGAGAUAGAAACCCAGAAUGGCUUCCACAAGCUCCUUCAGAGCCUCUUCUUCUUCUUCUACUCCUGCCAUCCCUCGAACAAGUACUUAUGAUGUUUUCUUGAGUUUUAGAGGCGAAGACACCCGCUAUAAUUUCACUGAUCACCUCUACAGUGCUUUGGGUAGGAGAGGGAUUCACACCUUCAGAGACGAUAAACUCAGGAGAGGAGAAGCGAUUGCUCCAGAACUCUUGAAAGCCAUUGAAGAAUCAAGGUCUUCCGUAAUUGUUUUCUCUGAAAACUAUGCUCAUUCGAGAUGGUGUUUGGAUGAGUUGGUAAAGAUCAUGGAGUGCCAGAAAGAUCCGGCACAUGUUGUUUUCCCAAUUUUCUAUCAUGUGGAUCCAUCCCAUGUACGAAAGCAAGAAGGAAGUUUUGGAGAGGCCUUUGCCGGUUAUGAAGAAAACUGGAAGGACAAGAUACCAAGGUGGAGGAGGGCCUUGACGGAAGCAGCCAAUCUUUCUGGAUGGCAUAUACUAGAUGGGUAACUUUAAUUUCCUUUCAACUAUUUGUAAGUAUAGGAAUGAUUAGUUUUGCAUUUAUAGAGUGAUGAUGUUGAUUGAAAUAUUUAUAAAAAUACAUAAGCUCAAAUUUUUUUAUUUGGAGGUCUACUACUUCAGCACAAAUUUCUCCUCAAAACGCUUUUAGUUGAAGUCUUUUAUGUGUACAUGUGUUUGAUAUUCUUUUAUAGGAAAUGUUCUCAGUAUAAGUGUUUUUUUAGAAAAUUAGCUUUCUUUUCCACGAAUUUGUUUUUUCUAACCUUUUUUAAAGUAAUUUCAAAAUUUUGUUAAUUUUAUUUUUUCUUCAAAAACAUUUUUUAGACUUAUAAGUACUUUCUAAAAGUAUUUUUAGAGUGUUUUUAGCAGGCAAUUCUAUUUAAAUGCUUUUAGUAAAAGUUUUUUUAAAAAAAAUAUUUUUGGGAAAAUUAUCAAGUAUUUCUCAAAGAAUUACUAUAAGUGUUUUUUUUUUUUUUACUUUUUAUAAGUAAUUCUAAAUUCUUUAUCAAAUGCCUUAAUUUUUAUUUUUUUUUAUUUUUUUUAUUUUUAUAAAGACACAUUUUAUACUUCCCAAACAAACUGUAACAUUACUUGAGGUUGUUAACAUAUUAGAACAACGGGCAUAUAUUUGUUUGCUCAAAAUAAAAAUAAACUAUUGCUUUCUAGGGCUUUAUUUAUAAGUUGGUUUUAUUCAAGUACAUCAUUUGGGCAGCCGACUAUGUGUCAUGAAUAAGGAGAAAAUAGGAAAUUCGAGUAUUGAUUUGACCAAAUAAGCAGUCAAUUUAUAUGGAUGACAUCUAUAUUAAUUUAAUGGGCAUGCAAUUUAAGUUUCUUUCACUUUUCAUUCAUUAGUGGGUUUUAUUUACAAAUUAAAUUAUUAAUAUUAUUGUUAUUAUUGUCGUUUAUUACUAAUAUUAUUGUUUUUUGUUGUUGUUUAUAGUAGUUGCAAUGACAUUAGUAUAAAAAGAAUAGUAGAAUAACAAUUAUAUUGAGUUAGAAUUUAUGAUAAAUGGUAGAAUGAACUUAUUAAAACCCAAUUAAUGAGUUUUACUAUUUUAGAUCAAUUUAUGAGAAUCUAUAUCUAAAAUAAUUUAGUCAAAAUUUAUUACUAAUUUUUCAAUUUUCAAGAUUCAAUCCGCAUUAAUGUUACAAAAAUUAAUCAAUUUAUUUGAAAUUUUGUGUGAAUAAUUAUAUAACAAGUAACAAUAAAAUUAAUGACUAUUACUAUCUAUUAACGAGCUUCAAAAAUUUCAAUUAACCAAUCUCUUGUGUAUCAAUAGAACAACUUAAUCAAAUUCUAAAAAUAAUUUGAUUAAUUAAGUAACAAGUAACAAGUAACAAAAUUAUUUAACCAAUUUUAUUUGAGAACAAGUUGAUCAAAUAGUUUGAUUAAUUAUGUAACAACUACCAAUAACAAAAUUAUGUAACAUAAAUUGUUUAGUAGGUAUUCAACUUCCGAGUUUGUGUGCAUAUAUAUAUAGACAAUAAAGAACAUAGGUUAGGAAGUUAAUUCUUUAUAGAUGAUGCUAAAGGAAAUCAACUCAACUCAAAAUAAAAUACAAAUGAAUAACUUGUUUACAAGCCUUUAAUUUUUAAUUUUUAUCAUAUAAAUGAAUAAUAAGGAGAUGAUGUUGUGGGAUAAAUAAGUUUCGAAGCUUGAGGAAUUGAACAUGGGGUUUUUAAUCUAAAACUUCUUAUAUUAAGAGGUUGAGUACUAUAUCUACAAUGAGGCUUCAUGCAUUACAAGGUAUACAAUGAAUGUCAAAGAAAAUUUUUUUUGCUCCUACAAGGUUUCUAAUUGCCAUGGGCUGUUAAAGAGUUUUUAAAAUGUGCAUGAAUGAUAAAGUAAUAUCUCGAUUCAUAAUCAUUGUCCUCCAUUAUGGCACUAAAUUUCCAUUUUAACAAAAUUCAUGUUUUAAUUUUUUUUCUCAUGCAUACUUGAUACAAAGGAAAGUGUCCUAAAAAUGUAAAUGAACUAAUAUCUUUGAUAUAUUCUAUUCUACUUUAAUUUAUUUCUCGUAAAGAUGUCAAAAUUAAUGUGUUUUAUUUACAAUUGUGGCUCAUUACUUAACGUGUUGUCCUUUUAUAAUUGGCAGGUAUGAGUCCAAUCAAAUUAAAGAAAUAACUAAUAACAUAUUUCGUCAAUUGAAAUGUAAGAGGCUUGAUGUUGGUGCCAAUUUAGUUGGUAUAGGUUCCCGUGUAAAAGAGAUGAUUUUGCGAUUGCAUAUGGAAUCAAGUGAUGUUCGUAUUGUUGGGAUAUGUGGAGUUGGUGGGAUAGGUAAGACAACAAUCGCAAAAGUUGUUUAUAAUGAACUUUCUUGUGAAUUUGAAUGUAUGAGCUUUCUUGAAAAUAUUGGGGAGGUUUCCAAUACCCAAGGUUUAUCUCACUUACAAAAUCAACUUCUUGUUGAUGUCCUAGAGGGAGAGGUGAGUCAAAAUAUGAAUGGUGUUGCCCACAAAGCAAGUAUGAUAAAGGACAUUCUCUCAUCUAAAAGAGUUUUAAUGGUUCUUGAUGAUGUAGAUCAUCCAAGUCAAUUAGAAUAUUUACUUGGACAUCGUGAAUGGCUUGGAGAAGGAAGUAGAGUCAUCAUAACUACUAGAAAUAAACAUGUGUUAGCUGUACAAAAAGUGGAUAACUUAUAUGAGGUUAAGGGAUUGAAUUUUGAAGAAGAUUGUGAACUUUUCAGUUUGUAUGCCUUUAAACAAAAUCUUCCCAAAUCAGAUUACAGAAACCUCGCAUGUCGUGUUGUAGGCUAUUGUCAAGGGCUUCCAUUAGCUCUAAAAGUUCUAGGUUCUCUCUUAUUCAACAAGACAAUACCUGAAUGGGAAAGUGAAUUGCAUAAAUUGGACAGAGAACCUGAAGCGGAAAUUCACAAUGUGCUUAAACGAAGCUAUGAUGGAUUAGAUCGUACAGAAAAAAAUAUAUUUCUUGAUGUUGCAUGUUUUUUUAAAGGUGAAGAUAGGGAUUUUGUGUCAAGAAUAUUGGAUGGUUGUGAUUUCCAUGCAAAAAGAGGAAUAAGAAAUCUAAAUGAUAAGUGUCUUAUAACUCUCCCAUACAACGAAAUACGUAUGCAUGAUUUGAUACAACAUAUGGGCUGGGAAAUUGUUCGUGAAAAAUUUCCUGAUGAGCCAAACAAAUGGAGCAGAUUGUGGGAUCCCUGUGAUUUUGAACGUGCACUUACAGCAUAUGAGGUAAGAGCCAAGUGCAUGAAUUCACUUAAGCACUAGUUGAAGAUAUAAACUUCAAUAAUAUCAUUGUUGUAUAAGAAAUUACAUAUCCAUAUAAGUUGAAUUAGUUUGUAUUUAUGUUUGUCUUAUCGAUGUUCUUUUUCAGGGAAUAAAAAGAGUUGAAACAAUAUCCUUGGACUUGUCUAAAUCAAAAGGAGUAUGUGUGAGUUCAAAUGUUUUCGCAAAGACGACUAGACUUCGAUUGCUCAAAGUUCAUUCAGGUUUCCAUAUAGAUCACAAAUAUGGAGAUCUUGACAGUGAGGAGGAGAUGUAUUAUUGUUAUGGUGUAAUUGCACAUGCUUCUAAAAUGCAACUUGACCGGGGUUUUAAAUUUCCUUCUUAUGAGUUAAGGUAUCUUUGUUGGGAUGGAUAUCCUUUAGAUUUUUUACCAUCAAACUUUGAUGGAGGGAAGCUUGUUGAACUUCACUUGCACUGUAGCAACAUAAAACGGUUGUGGCUAGGGAAUAAGGUAUUAUUAUCAUUUAAUAAUGACUUCUUUUUCUUUGUAUUGAUUUUGAAAUUUAUGAUAGUUAUGUCUUUAUUGACACUAAUUUUCUUUUUGUACAGGAUCUUGAAAGGUUAAAGGUCAUUGAUCUAAGUUACUCAAGGAAGCUCAUUCAAAUGUCAGAAUUCUCAAGAAUGCCAAAUUUGGAGAGUCUAUUUCUUAAUGGUUGUGUAAGCUUGAUCGAUAUUCACCCAUCUGUUGGAAAUCUGAAGAAGCUUACUACCUUAAGCUUGAGAAGCUGUGAUAAGCUUAAGAAUCUGCCGGAUAGCAUUUGGGACUUGGAAUCUCUUGAGAUUCUUAAUCUCUCUUAUUGCUCAAAGUUUGAGAAAUUUCCAGGGAAGGGGGGGAACAUGAAAAGUUUAAGGAAGCUUCAUUUAAAAGAUACUGCUAUUAAGGAUCUGCCUGAUAGCAUUGGAGACUUGGAAUCUCUUGAGAUUCUUGAUCUCUCUGAUUGCUCAAAGUUUGAGAAAUUUCCGGAGAAGGGAGGGAACAUGAAAAGUUUAAACCAGCUUCUUUUAAGAAAUACUGCUAUUAAGGAUCUGCCUGAUAGCAUUGGAGACUUGGAAUCUCUUGAGUCUCUUGAUGUCUCUGGCUCAAAGUUUGAGAAAUUUCCGGAGAAGGGAGGGAACAUGAAAAGUUUAAACCAGCUUCUUUUAAGAAAUACUGCUAUUAAGGAUCUGCCUGAUAGCAUUGGAGACUUGGAAUCUCUUGAGUCUCUUGAUCUCUCUGAUUGCUCAAAGUUUGAGAAAUUUCCGGAGAAGGGAGGGAACAUGAAAAGCUUAAAGAAGCUUCGUUUAAGAAAUACUGCUAUUAAGGAUCUGCCUGAUAGCAUUGGAGACUUGAAAUCUCUUGAGUUUCUUGAUCUCUCUGAUUGCUCAAAGUUUGAGAAAUUUCCGGAGAAGGGAGGGAACAUGAAAAGGUUAAGGGAGCUUCAUUUAAAAAUUACUGCUAUUAAGGAUCUUCCCACCAACAUUUCUAGGUUGAAAAAACUUAAAAGACUUGUCCUCAGUGACUGCUCAGACCUGUGGGAAGGAUUAAUAAGCAAUCAGCUUUGCAAUCUGCAAAAACUUAAUAUCAGUCAAUGCAAAAUGGCUGGACAAAUUCUGGUGCUUCCUUCAAGUCUAGAAGAAAUAGACGCAUACCAUUGCACAAGCAAGGAAGAUUUAUCAGGUCUGCUCUGGCUUUGCCACCUCAACUGGUUGAAAUCCACAACAGAGGUAAUUUAAUAUAUAUAUAUAUAUAUAUAUAUAUUUUAAUUAUGCCACUUAAACCUUUUUUUUAUAUAUAUAAAGUCAAUAUUUACAUAAUAAUUUGUUCAGGAGUUGAAAUGCUGGAAACUCGUUGCUGUUAUUCGUGAAAGUAAUGGAAUUCCAGAGUGGAUAAGGUAUCAGAACAUGGGAAGUGAAGUAACAACAGAGCUUCCAACGAAUUGGUAUGAAGAUCCUCACUUCCUAGGAUUUGUCGUAUCAUGUGUUUAUCGGCAUAUUCCUACAUCUGAUUUUGAUUACCGUGAUGUUGAUCUCAUGUGUGAAUUGAAUUUACAUGGCAAUGGAUUUGAAUUCAAGGGUAAAUGCUAUCGGUAUGAUUCGCCUGGUAAUUUUAAAGAUUUGAUAGAUCAAGUAUGUGUUUGGUGGUAUCCUAAGAUUGCUAUUCGGAAAGAGCAUCACCAUAAAUACACACAUAUUAAUGCUUCAUUUAGGGGUCAUUGGACAGAGAUAAAAAAAUGCGGCAUCGAUCUUAUAUUUGCGGGAGAUCAACAAAAUCAUAUGCCCAUGUUGGAGCAUCCUCAGAAUUCUGGUGACAAUGGAUCAGCAUUACAAGAUACCGAUGGUAAUGUUCAUGGGGCUAAUCAAGAUGAUGAACACUACCAUAUUCCCAUGUUGUUAGAUCUUCCUGGGAAUUUUGGUGACAUUGGAUCAGUAAUGUUCAUGGGGCUAAUCAAGAUGAUGAAGGCACUGAUGGAAACCGUAAGAGAAGACGUGAUGAUUCCCUACCCGAUGUAGUGGAGGAGCCACAUUAUAAAAGAUUGGGAGCACCCAACACCGAUCCCUUGCUUUGAACUCCAUCACCAGGUGCAUUAUCAACCCUUUUUCAUAUAUUCCAACUUCUCUCCUUUUGAAAUUAUUUUUAAAGUCAAUAAACCAUUUUUAUAUGUUUUUUUUUAAACUCAUUUCACUUGUUUUCCUCAAUUAUAUAAAAAUUAAAUAAUUUAAAAAUAGAUAAAAUUUUAAUCAAUUUUAAUUACAUUUUAUUUUCUUUCAUAUUUUCUAUAGGAAAACCAAGUAUAAAAAUAUGAAAAAUAACUUCGGCUAACUUUGAAAGUCAUCUUUAGUUUAAAAACAUGUAUAGUUUUUUUUAGAUAUGGCAUAGAUAUGAUAGAGUAAAUAGCUUUUUUUUUUCAUUAUUUAUUUAUUUAAUUAGAUAAAUGAAAACCUCUACAAAGUGAUUAUGAAGUUCUAGGGAUUCUUUAUUACCUUAUUAGACAUAAUAUUAAUUAAUUAAUUAAUUAAUUAAUUUUUUCUACUUGCUUUUAAGAUAAAAUUUCAAUAAGUUAUCAAAAUUAGUUAGAGAAGAUCAUGUAUACAAAUUAGAAGUUAAAUUUGAAUGUAUUAUGAGGUAGAUGUAUGUAGAAACUUGAUGCAAGUAAAUAAUAAAACUCCCAUAUAGUGAUUUUAAUAGUUUUAAGAGUCAAAUUGUUUAUGGUUUUUGUAUUUAAGAAUUAAAUUUCUUUAAGCAUGCUAAAACAUGUUUAAACAUGCAUACUUAUUGUCUAUUUCCCGAGAUGGGAGUUUUGGAUUAAUCUUAUAUUUACUUAUGAGUCUGAUAUGCUCAUGAAGUUUACCUAACAAUUGAUCAUACUAAUCUUAAGUGAAAUUUGUGAUAGUGCCAAUCAGAACGAAAUCACAUGGGGUUGCUGGGGGUGGAGUUUAUGUUUUUUUCUAUCAACUUAUUGGUAAGUCAUUUUGUUCAUUUAUUCUUUUAGUACGUGUAGAAAAUUGAUUAUAGUUCUUCAACUUCUUUACUAUUUUCUCUUUCCCUUGAUCCCUUUUUUGUUCUAUUAUGUUUGGUUUUUGAAAAACUUGAGGGUAAAUAUAAAGGAAAGAAAAUAGAGAAAAAAAAUUAAAAGGAAAUACAAAGUGAAAAAGAAUAAAAACUAGAUUUAAAGUUAAUUAAUUAUUUUUAUAUGUUUCUUCAAUCUUAUUUCAAUUAUUAUGCUUCAUUAUAUAAAAAUUAAAUAAUUUUAAAAUGUAUAUAGUUCUAACAAAUUUUAAUUAUAUUUAAUUUUUUUUCCAUAUUUUUCAUAAUGAAACCAAACAUUUAUCAUUUUCCUUGACAUUUUUUAUUGUUUUCUUGGUACUCGAUGGGAACCAAACAUAAGUUGAAAACCACUAGGGUAGCGAACAUUGCGAAGUGUGGCCCCAGUAAGUGGUACAUGGUUCAGGGUUCAAAUUCUACCACCAAUGAUACCUUGAAUUUACCUAGUACUAGUUGUCGUGGGUGAUUAGCACUCUGAGGUUUGGGUCCCCAUAGAGAGUUUUAAGGGCUUGGUCAUGGAAGGUUCGAUUAUUAAAAAAAAAAAAAAAAAAAGUCGUAGGCAAUCCACAAUUAACUAGGAUAUAUAUUUGUUCUCAUGUGCUUGGUAUAAGGCACUAAGUAUCAUUAUAUUAAAUUAAAUCCUUCAUCUACACCAUAAGAGUUAGUUAUAAAUUCCUUGCUAUUGAUAUAGGUAAACAACAAUUUAUAUAUGUUUGAAUUAAUUCUUAAGUUAAUGGUUAAUACCAUUAAAUAUGUUUUUAGUUCCUUUGACGAUUAUGUUAUAAUUUAAACAUUUUAGGGCUAUGAUUCUAGCUUCAUUAGCAUGAAGUGUAUCUAAUGAUAUGUGAUUCCCUAUCACUAUGUUUGGUUCCAAGAAAUUAUAAGGGAAGAAAAAUCCUCGUGAAAAUGAUUUUCUCAUGAAAAAAUCCAAGAAAGUAUGAAGGAAAAUGAAAAUGAUUCUCGGAAAUCAAACGCAACCGUGUGAAAUAUACUUGGGUUAAUAAUUAUAAUGUGUGUUUAUUAUACUAUGUUUAUGAAAUUGAAAUGUUGUAUUUUAUAAUUUGUUUGUAGGUAGAAACCUCAGGACAAUGAGGAGAAGUAAAUCUCAAGAUGCAAGUGAGAUUCCAAAUGUUGCUAAGGUGGUCUACUCUUGCAUAUGAUCAGUCUUGCUUACCAUCAUGACCAUCAAGAAAGAUGCUACAAUUUGUGUAUUGAAAGUGUGAAUUAGGAAUGUUAAAAAAUGAAAACUUGAAUUGACAUGUUUUUGCCUAUAAGAUGUGUGGUUAUAGGCCAUUCUUAUGGGUAUAUAAUUGACCUUGAUGUUGCAUAUGAAGCAUAUCACCCUCUCUAUAUCUUCAAGCUAGUGGUUAGAGCUUCUCUGGAUAGUGAAAGACAAGUGUCAUGGAUUUAAGUAUUUUCAAAGCUCUUAUGUGGCAC
rnacentral:lncRNA from 1 species